AAGAUUCGAACCUCUCAAAAAGAUUUUGUUUUUUUACAACUGCAAAAUCCCAAGUUGCAGAAGAGUAGAAAAAGAAGAAGAAGCCAUGGCCAACAUGAUGAUGAGCUCCUCCAAAGUCUUAAUCACUUCUUCAUCUUCCACCAUCCCUCCAUCUCCAAGAUUCAAACUUUCCCUCACCCAAAUCCCUUUUCCAAAACUACCCCUCCCCAAAUCACCCAAAUCCCUUGAAACCCUCUCAAUCCCAUCAACUCUCAAGUCCAUUUCAGUCAUUCUUGCAAGCUCAUUGGCCAUGGCACCACCUUCACUAGCAGAAGAAAUUGAAAAAGCUUCCCUUUUUGAUUUCAACUUGACACUCCCAAUCAUGAUGGCUGAAUUCCUGUUUCUCAUGUUUGCUUUAGACAAGAUUUACUUCAGCCCAUUAGGGAAAUUCAUGGAUGAAAGAGAUUCUGCCAUUAAGGAGAAAUUGAGCAGUGUGAAGGACACCUCUGCUGAAGUGAAGCAACUGGAAGACCAGGCUGCUGCAAUUAUGAAGGCUGCAAGGGCUGAGAUAUCAGCAGCAUUGAACAAGAUGAAGAAAGAGACUCAGCAAGAAGUAGAACAGAAGAUUGCAGAAGGAAGGAAGAAAGUUGAGGCUGAAUUGCAAGAAGCUUUGGCUAGCUUAGAGAGUCAAAAGGAGGAGACAAUCAAGAGUCUUGAUUCUCAGAUUGCUGCUCUUAGUGAUGAGAUUGUCAAGAAAGUCCUUCCUGUCAGUAACUAAUUCUGAAAAGUUGUAAUGUUUUUUUUUCUUGGGAUUGGUAAGAGUUAACAGCUUGUUUGGAUGGAUGGUUGUUACAUGUAAUAUUGUACUGUGUUGUUAGUUUAAAUACAAUGUUUAUUUUGAUUGUUACUUAAUUUUAUUAUAUCAUAUCAUUAAAACCAUUGUUAUGUAACCACAAAAAGUCUCAUUUUAUAUAAUGAGAUUUGGUGUGAUCACGUUGUUAUGUUGGUUUUUUUUUUUUGUUGUUGUUGUGAUGCUCUUCCCCCUCUCUCUCUCUCUCUCUCUCCUUCUCUGGUAUUCUCUCAUAUUUUUCAGCCUUCUAGCUGCUGCAUUUUUUAGUAAACUGUAAACCCAACAUUUACAUCCAUAUAUGCAUUAUGCAAACAUAUUUAUAAUUUUACCAUUUUUUGUUCUUUGCACUGAAAAGAACUGAUUGUCAAAUAGUCUUUGUCUGCAGAUAUGGACUCCCAGCUGAUAGAUUAUGGAUUAGUGUUUACGAAGAUGAUGAUGAAACUUUUGCACUAUGGCAUGAUGAGGUACAACACUGAAAGAUAUGUCUGAUGCAUUAUAUCUUUAGUGAAGUAAUAAGGUCAAUCCUUCUACAAUUAACUAGUUAUGCACUUAUGCAUGGUAGGGAUCUGGUAAAUAAAUGCUGGAGCGCAACCUUCCAUUUAGACUGAACAGAGGUGUAUUAUGGUCAUUCAAAGAUACCUAGAGAACUUCAUUGCUUUCCAAGUGAAGUGAAGUGAAGUGUAUCAAACAGCCAAAUACUGUAUUUUAAGAUCCUGAAAUAUGUAUACUGUACAGUUUCAAGAAAUAUGUAUACUGUGUUCAAACUUAGAUGAGUUUCAAGGCUAAAACAAUGUCUCUCCAUUAUGGCUUAGUCAGUGGGGAUAACUCAAAUAAUGACUUAGAAGAACACAUUUAUUUUGAUAAGUGAGAAGAGCACAUUUUAUUAUUAAGCUACCUCAGUUUAAGUCAAAGGAACCUCAUUUACGUUGGAGUGUGCUCUGUCAAAUAUGAGAAGUCUAUUGCAACCAAGUUUUAAGAAUGACUGUAUUUAGUUCACAUUUUGAUCUUGAAUGGAAUAUCUUUUGACGUUCUCGGUCUGUGUGCUUAUGCUCCCCAAGUGGGCUUGGACGAGGAGGCCAAAAAGCGCUUUUAUGAGGAUUUGGAUGAGGUAGUUAGAGGUAUACCGAAUACCGAGAAGAUUGUCAUUGGUGGAGAUUUUAAUGGCCACAUCGGGGCAACUGCUAGUGGAUUUGAUGAUGUUCAUGGAGGCUUUGGUUUUGGGGAGAGAAAUGGAGGUGGAACUUCGCUUCUAGACUUUGCUAAGGCUUUUGAGUUGGUGAUUGCUAACUCAUGCUUUCCGAAGAAGGAGAACCACUUGGUUACCUUUCGUAGCCCGGUAGCUAAGACCCAGAUAGAUUACUUUCUCCUUAGGAGGGGUGAUAGAGGUCUAUUUAAGGACUGCAAGGUUAUCCCAAGUGAAAACCUCACUAUCCAACACAAGCUUUUGGUGUUGGACUUGAAGAUUAAGAGGGAUAGGAGGAAGAAGAUGUUAUCUGACCGACCGAGGAUUAAAUGGGGUGGGUUGACCCCUGCCCUUUCUCGGGAGAUGGGUGAGGAGCUGAUGGGGAUGGGGGCAUGGAGUGGUAGCGGGGAUGCGGACAACAUGUGGAAUAAAGCAGCUAGUUGCAUUAGGGAAGUUGCUUCUAAGAUGCUAGGGGUGUCUAGGGGUAAAUUCGGAGGACAUAAAGGAGAUUGGUGGUGGAAUGGGGAAGUCCAAGGUAAAGUGGAAGCGAAGAAGGCUGCAUACACAAAAUUGGCGGAGUGCGUAGACGAGGAAGAGAAGCGGACGCUUAAGAAAGCCUAUAAGACGACAAAGACAGAAGCUAAGUUAGCUGUUUCGAAGGCGAAGACGGCAGCUUUCGAACGCUUGUAUGUCGAGUUGGGGGACAAAGGUGGGGAUAAGAAGUUGUAUAGGCUCGCAAAAGCAAGAGAGAGGAAGGCGCGCGACUUGGACCAAGUGAAGUGUAUCAAAGAUGAGGAAGGCAAAAUACUGGUGGAAGAGACCUCUAUCAAGCAAAGAUGGCGAAGCUACUUUCACAAACUUUUAAAUGAAAAAGGGGAAGCGGACAUUGUGUUGGGUGAUUUGGCACACUCUGAAAGACUUCGGGAUUUUGGAUACUGUAGGUGCGUUACGCCCGAGGAGGUUAUACGGGCUAUUAGUAGGAUGAGUAGGGGAAGAGCGACCGGACCCGAUGAGAUUCCGGUAGAAUUUUGGAAGAACAUGGACAAGGCAGGCAUAGAGUGGUUAACUGGGCUGUUUAAUGUUAUUUUUAAGACAGCGAAAAUGCCUGAUGAAUGGAGGUGGAGUACAAUGGUUCCGUUGUAUAAAAACAAGGGUGAUAUCCAAAACUGUAACAACUACAGGGGUAUUAAAUUGUUGAGUCAUACUAUGAAGAUUUGGGAGAGAGUGGUGGAGAUGAGAGUGAGAAAAGGGGUGUCCAUCUCCGAGAACCAGUUUGGAUUCAUGCCGGGACGUUCGACUACCGAAGCCAUUCAUCUUAUGCGUAGACUGGUAGAAAAGUAUAGAGAAAGGAAGAGAGACCUUCACAUGGUGUUCAUUGACCUUGAAAAGGCCUAUGACAAAGUACCGAGGAAUGUCCUCUGGAGGUGCUUGGAGUCUAAAGGAGUCCCGAUGAUUUAUAUUAGGGCGAUAAAGGACAUGUACGGUGGAGCCAAGACUCGGGUUAGAACAGUUGGAGGAGACUCAGAACAUUUCCCAGUUGAGAUGGGGCUGCACCAGGGAUCAGUCCUAAGCCCUUUCCUAUUUGCUUUGGUGAUGGACGAGUUAACGCGGUCUAUUCAGGAGGAGGUCCCAUGGUGUAUGUUAUUUGCGGAUGACAUAGUACUGAUUGAUGAGACGCGGGACAGAGUUAAUGCGCGGUUGGAGGUGUGGAGACAAACGCUGGAGUCCAAAGGGUUCAGGUUGAGUAGGACCAAAACAGAAUAUUUGGGGUGCAAAUUCAGUGAUGUGGUAGAUGAGACAGAUGUGGAAGUGAGACUUGCCGCACAAGUCAUUCCUAAGAAGGAAAGUUUUAAGUAUCUUGGGGCUGUAAUCCAAGGGAGUGGNNNNNNNNNNNNNNNNNNNNNNNNNNNNNNNNNNNNNNNNNNNNNNNNNNNNNNNNNNNNNNNNNNNNNNNNNNNNNNNNNNNNNNNNNNNNNNNNNNNNNNNNNNNNNNNNNNNNNNNNNNNNNNNNNNNNNNNNNNNNNNNNNNNNNNNNNNNNNNNNNNNNNNNNNNNNNNNNNNNNNNNNNNNNNNNNNNNNNNNNNNNNNNNNNNNNNNNNNNNNNNNNNNNNNNNNNNNNNNNNNNNNNNNNNNNNNNNNNNNNNNNNNNNNNNNNNNNNNNNNNNNNNNNNNNNNNNNNNNNNNNNNNNNNNNNNNNNNNNNNNNNNNNNNNNNNNNNNNNNNNNNNNNNNNNNNNNNNNNNNNNNNNNNNNNNNNNNNNNNNNNNNNNNNNNNNNNNNNNNNNNNNNNNNNNNNNNNNNNNNNNNNNNNNNNNNNNNNNNNNNNNNNNNNNNNNNNNNNNNNNNNNNNNNNNNNNNNNNNNNNNNNNNNNNNNNNNNNNNNNNNNNNNNNNNNNNNNNNNNNNNNNNNNNNNNNNNNNNNNNNNNNNNNNNNNNNNNNNNNNNNNNNNNNNNNNNNNNNNNGUUGUUGUUGUUGUUGUUGUUGUUGUGAUGCUCUUGCAGACAUAUAUGGGGACAUUGUUGCUUGGGCUAUGAUGGGCAGAAGCUACUUACUGCUAUUAAUUUGUUAGGAACCUAUUGGAUCAAGGAUGGUGAUAAGGUUUCUUCUCAUUUCAUCGUAUUUUCUCGGAAAGUUUUCUUUUAUCUAAUCUUUAUAUGGUUUGCUUAUGUUGCUUGUUGCUAAUGCACUGAAAUAUGCAAUCUGUAAAAGGAGAUUAUUAGAUUAGGAACCACAUUCCAAUAAUUUCCAGUCCAUCUUAUGUCCAGGCUUUGAAGAAACUUGAUUUUUUGUUGAGAUGAAUCAGGAUAUGUCAUUUUGCAGUUGAAUGUGUGUGGACUUGCACGGAUGGAGCUUAUAAGUCAGAAGUUUGGCUGUAAUUGUUCUGAUUUGCAUUUUUAUUGUUUCGAUGUAGGAGUCUUUGAUUGGAAACUAAAAAGCGGUGCAUAUGGUCUGAAGAGAGACAUGUAAAAGCAGGUUCAAUUACUAAGGCUCCAGAGAAUUCUGGUUCAUAUGAUUCUCCCAAACCAAAAGGCAACAGAUUAUCACUUACAAGUAAAGAGCUGAAUAUGGGCCAAAGCAGAGAACUCUGUUUAUUAUAAGUUAGAACUUUCUUUUGGAGAUUUUAGAUGGAUUAUCUUCCCACCUAAUGAGAUAUGUACAUUUUCCUCUAUGAAGCACAAGUGAAACUGUUUGAACAUUUCCUUGGCUCGCUAAUUCUUGAUGUUUUUGCAUGUGCAGCUCACUUUUAUGAUGCAUGUCUCCAUUAGUUACAAUCUGGUCAAAACGUGAUCAGAGAGAGGACCCUCAUGAAAAUGAAGCCAAGCAUGUAAGUUCUGUAUACUGGCUUUGUCAUUAUUGUUGGUUCAUCUGUUCUAAUAUUGCCCUUCACCCUAUUGCUUUGCUAUCAAUGCUUGAUUCUUCCAUAGAAUGCAAACACUCGGCCUUAGUUGUUGGACUUUUGGUUAUAAAAGUAGGAUCUUGUUCAUCUAGGUGUUCCCAUUUAUAGUUUCUAUACUGGAACAUUGACAUAUAUAUGUUCCAUUUAUAGUUUCUAUGCCGAUAUUUUCCCAAUACUGCUCAUCAUCAUACCGAUAUAAACCUGGCUAUGUUACUUUGUAUGAUCAUGCAGAAGAAUUGGAAGAAUGGACGUAGUGUUGCAGAGUUUAAUGCAUAUAUUUAUGAAAUGUUUAACUAUAUGUAUGGAUUUGUCUUGCAUAGAGGCACUGUAACUUGUAAGAGCAGUUUAGGUAAUAUCCUCUUUGUAAAUGCAUUUUUGCAGACCCAAAAGCUGUGGAAGCAGACAUCAGAGAGGUGAACGGGAGGGUAAUCACCAUCAAGAUGAUUUAUUAAAGAACCAUCAAACUAGUUUUAAUGACAACAGGUGUGUUGUAGCUAAUUGUGAAUCCAGGUUGGUUCCUUUGCUUAGAGGGUGGUUCCCAUACAAGUUAGCAAACCCAGAGAGCAGAAUAAAACAGAAGAGCAGUGCAUCGCGAUCACACGAAUGGAAAGCAUUCACCUCUAGUUGAUAGAAAAUUAGUAAUUUGUAUCAUCUGUUCCAUUUCCUCAUUUGCAGAUGACAGUCAAUUAGUUGUGCAACAUGAUUUUACUUGGGGUUUGGCAUAAAAAAAAAGUCUUGGGAUUGUGUAAAAGAGCACCCCCACUCCCCAAUUUCCUCUCCAUGUACACUAGUUUCUAGGUUCUGUGUAAUCAAAUCUUGAUUUUCAUCAUUUUGCCUAAGAACACAAAUGCACUAAUAUCUCUUGGUCAUUACCUCAUUGGUUAGGGCAAAUCCAUCUAUCAUCACACUUAACUUCUGCAAUCUGGUUUGGGAUCUCCAUGGUUAUUAAGAAAAAGUUUAACUUCUUAUGCAUUGACGGUGUAAAAAAAUUACUCAUACCAUCAGGUUAAUCAGGAGGUAAGGUAACUACAUGUAAAUCAUACGAUAAGCAUUAGUUGAUAAUCAAAUAAAAACAUUAACUAACCUAUCAUCAAAGGUUAAACUACACUGAUAGCAUAAAAAAUCUUUACUCUAUUUGGUGUAAUAACUUAAAUCCAAGUUACAAAAUUGGUAUAUGAAUUAACUUGUGCAUCACAAUUCACAAACUUUCAGUCACUCCUUAGUGAAUAAAACCAAAAGGCUACUUACAACUAAUUACAAUUUUGUGCAUAUCAAAUGCCAAUGCCUUUGGUUUAUUAGAAUUACUUAAAUAAAUACUCACAGAAAAAGAAAAAAAAAGACCAGUUGCACACCCAUCUCAGCCUCAUAAUAUUGUGUGGGCAUAGAUUGAGAUAGCCUUUCUAAGACUUUCCUUCUUCCCUUCUAAAACCACCAAAUAAAAAAUCUAGAAUCAAACCCUCUAAAAAAUCCCAAGUUCUAAGAAGCCAUGGCCAACAUGAUGAUGAGCUCCUCCAAAGCCUUAAUCACUUCUUCAUCCUCCACCAUUCCUCCAUCUCCAAGAUUCAAACUUUCCCUCACCCAAAUCCCUUUUCCAAAACUACCCCUCCCAAAAUCACCCAAAACCCUUGAAACCCUCUCAAUCCCAUCAACUCUCAAGUCCAUUUCAGUCAUUCUUGCAAGCUCAUUGGCCAUGGCACCACCUUCACUAGCAGAAGAAAUUGAAAAAGCUUCCCUUUUUGACUUCAACCUGACACUCCCCAUCAUGAUGGCUGAAUUCCUCUUUCUCAUGUUUGCUUUAGACAAGAUUUACUUCAGCCCAUUAGGGAAAUUCAUGGAUGAAAGAGAUUCUUCCAUUAAGGAGAAACUUAGCAGUGUAAAGGACACAUCUGCUGAAGUGAAGCAACUGGAAGACCAAGCUGCUGCAAUUAUGAAGGCUGCAAGGGCUGAGAUAUCAGCAGCAUUGAACAAGAUGAAGAAAGAGACUCAGCAAGAAGUAGAACAGAAGAUUGCAGAAGGAAGGAAGAAAGUUGAGGCUGAAUUGCAAGAAGCUUUGGCUAGCUUAGAGAGUCAAAAGGAGGAGACAAUCAAGAGUCUUGAUUCUCAGAUUGCUGCUCUUAGUGAUGAGAUUGUCAAGAAAGUUCUUCCUGCCACUAACUAAUUCUGAAAAUUUGUGUAGUAAAUAAGAUUACUGUUUGAUCAAAGAUAUAUAAAUGUGAAAAUAUUUGGUUAUUUUAUAUGAUGAAUCUCAUGUGUACAUCUUGGUUUUUGGUAAUAUGAGGAUUCUAAGUGAUUUUUCAGGAUUUUGAUUAUGAAGUUAAAAGAAAAAUUGAAACUUGAAAGCCAGAGAUCAACUUCUCUCUCUAUACUGAUUUGGUCCUAGAGCUGAGGUCUAUCGGAAACAGUGUCUCUACCAUUGUCCAAAGAAUAUUGAGACAAACACAAAUCAACUUGUUUGGGAGGAGUGAUAGUAGUUGUAAUUCAUCAAGGUAAUUGUAAGUCGUCAGUUAUGAUUUGAGAUUGCCCUUUAUUUUUUUUACGACAAGUUUUGGUUAACAGCAAGAACAUAUCCACGAAUGGAGUCUAGAGAGGGUAGGAUAUAAUUGCACGGGCAAUUGUGAGACAGUACUAAUUGGUCAAUGGCGCUUAAUUAGGUAACGGCAGAAUUGUCAACCCACAUAUCCAAUUGUUCAAUUUUUUAACUACCAGGCGUAAACUAUUACCACAUCACUUACAGAUACAGUGAAGAUAGCAGCAAGAUGUUUACAUUCAACACCACCUUAGAUAAGCAAGGUUAAAAAAAAAAUAAAAAAAAAUUUAAAGUUAACCAUGCUUUUUUUUUUUUUUUGCUUUUCCAACAGAUGUAAUUCAAGACCAUAGAGAACCCAACAGCUGAAUGCAGUAUAAGGUUGGGAAACUUCAAUCAUCAGGAAAAGAGAAGACAUAGAAAUAAUCAGUUCUGCUGCUCCUCGUUAUCCCCGUUUUGCUCUGCUUCUGCAGCCAUUAACUCAUCAAACUUCUCAGUCUUGCCCAGCACUAUUUCAAUCUGCACCAAGCGAAGAUGAUAAAUAAAACAAAAAACCUUAAUUUGAUAAAAAAGACGACACCACAGAUUAGACAAGGAUGACUGUUCGGAGAAGGAAUUUUUUAAAAAGAUGGAUUGUGAACCACAUUUAACACCCACUAGCUCACAUGAAUUCAACAAUGUUUUAAAGAGUAUAUGGGGGAAGAAGAACAUGAAUGCUGUAAAAGCAGCAUCUAUAUGGCAUAACAUAAUACUGGCUAGAUUCAUUUUUCCAUCUCUGCUGUUGCCAAAAGAAAAUGAUUUUAUUCUGUUCAACGGCUUUUGAAAACAGGAACAACAACAAUGGGAAAAACCACAAGAUAAUGCACUAAAAGGGAAUGUACCUUCAACAGGCAUGGGGGUGUAAAACUAACUUCUAAUCAAGUCUAAGAUAACCAAAUGGGACUAGACAAUUUUGGUGAAUAAGGAUGUAAACCAUCACUGACCCUACCAUCUACUCUACAGCUUUUCUAAAAUUCUGCACACAUCCGAACUCAAACAGAGAAAAAUAAGCACACACACACAUCAACUACCUCUUGAACACUUAACUUAAUCUACUGUUCUUCAGAAAGAAUCUUGAGUCCCAAGCUAACAUUUACCAUAGAACCUCUACAGAAUGAGUUCCAUUACUAUCAAACCACCAAAACUGAAGCAGACUAAUGCAUCAAUUGACCGACUCAUAAUGCUUUUGGAAUUUACCUUUGCUUUUGGUAUCGGUCGGGCUCCUGGGUCAUCCCUCAUGUCCACAGUGAGUGUCCUGAUCUCUGCAGCAAGUGUACCCUCAAAGUUAGAUGACAAGAAAGAUUAUAAAAGGGAUGGGAGUGGAGUACGAGAAGCCUCACUCUUCUCAACAGCAAAUCCAUUGUUCUUGAGAAUUUCGGCAAUAGUAACCACUGUUGAAAUAGCUGUAUACAUGUGGAAAAGGUUGUUAAUCCUUUAGAACUAUAUGGCAAGCCAAUUCAAUUAUUAAUGAGUUUGCAACAUAACACAAAAGAAUAAGUCCACAAAAAAAUGAAAAGAACAUCAAACUGUACUGUGCCACCACUAUAUAUUUCUUUGUACUUAAUAAGGUUUACCGGCAAGCCAAAGGAACCACUGCAAACAUAUUCUCAAGCACAUUCUGCUUUAUAAGUAAAAGAUCCCUGGGAAGCCGCAGGAAUAAGGUUGUGAUGAAUCAGAAUUCAUCCCAGAUACGCUCAACUAUUUUCUAUGGUUGAAAACCAUGGUCGUUUUUAUGCCAGAAGUUGGUUCAAAAUUGUUUCACUAGGAUAUCACAUCGCUGGUAAAGUGAGCAACACUGUAUUAUACUCUUCUUAUACACAAGCGGUUGCAAUAGUAAACAACGCAUUCUUGAGAUGGCAAAAAACAUCACACAUUGCAAAGAUAGGAAUUCACCAAUAAUCAAGAAAAAGCCAAUUGGGAAAAGAAAGUGAGAGUGCCUCCAUAACCCAAGCUGUAACACGGUGUAUUCUUGAUGUGAAAAGACAGCAUAAACAGAAUGUAGAAGAAGACCCAUAUGGCAUUAUAAGCAAGGGGAAACCACAAACUAGUACUCAAGAUUGAGGGUCAAGAAGAUUUACCCAUCCCAAGAGCAGAGAGUUCCACUUCAUUGUACUGUUGCAUGUACCUCUGCAAGAAACAUACCAAAUAUCUCAGGAUACGAACUCAGACCAAUAGCAACAGUUAUAGAUUCUGGUGUAAGACCAUGAAAACUAAAUAUAGAUAGUCACAUGGCUAACACUUUUCAAGAUUUUCUAAUGCAUGUCUUGCAUCCAGAAAAAGCUUCAAACAAUAUACUAUAAGUCUGACGCCAACCCUAUAAUUGUCACUAAAUAUACCUAAAGUAUUUUUUGAUAAAGAAUACCUAUGAACUGCCUCAAUUGCAGGUCCAAAUUGUUAAUUUGGAUCCUACAUAAACUCACAUCACUUCGAUUGCAAUUGCUCUAGACUUUGUGAAGUCCUGUCUGAACUGCUACUGCAGACAAUCAGAACUUGAACUAUAUUCUAAUCUUAUGUUUCUCAAACAAAAAUAUUUGUUCUUUUUAACUCUCCGUAUUACAUAUAGAAUUUUUUCUUCAAUCACCCAACUCAUCAAUUAAUUAUUGUAAUACAGAUUAGCAAUUUUCCUUCAAUCAAAAACUAAUAAAAUCCCAGAAAACUAGACCUCAGCCAACAUAAGCAAUCAAACACAUUAAAUUAACAAAGACCCUGGUUACUGUGCAUUAACUGAUAGCAUUUUGCAGGUCUCCCACUAUGAGCCAUGUCAUUUUUGAAAAUGUAAUUAAUUGUUCCCGUUCAUGAUAGUGGAAACAGUAUGCAGUCCUUAUUUUUACCUUCUCUCACAUAACUUGUCAGCAAACAACUCAACAACCGUAAAAGAAUCUAUCAUUGUUCAACAAGCAUAGACCCUCAUAACCAUUAAACGGAAACAAUUUUUGCAAAUCUAGCUGUCUUCAUAAAAACAUCCAACAAAAGAAUCCUCCAUAACCAAUUUACAGACAAAAAAGUAUAAUCAUUUUAAAACUACGUCCAAUUACCCAAAACUUCGCCAAUGGAUACACAGACUACAAUGCAUGGCUUUAUAACAUGGAAAAACAAGUAAACAAAUUUAAAUAACUAAUAGCUUAAAAUACAGUAAUAGUGUAAAAACUCCUUAUGAUUUCAAUGUAUAUAUGAUUUAAAUGGAAAAAAAAAGCACCUUUGAGAGAUUAACAUAAAAGAAGAGUGAUUUCUUGGUGUUUGAAACUUGGAUUCUGUUCUUCUUUUGUGUCUCUGAGACACUCAUCUUGUUCACUCCCUCUGUGAUUCCUUCCAUUGAUUUGCUGAUUUCUUCAGGUAAACCCUAAUUUCGCAGCCUCCUUUCCCUUUGAAGAGAGGAUCCGUAUAAUUUGGGGAAAAUUAUACCAAAACAGUAACAGAUAAACCCUCGAGUCAUAUCCAGGUGGUUUUAAGGGUUAGGCCCCUUAAACGACAACGUUUUAUGACUCUUUGAUUUUUUAUCUCUCAAAUGUACCCCUCAUCUUUCGAAAAUUAUACUUUACACCAUGAUUGGUUUUGAGGCGUAGUUAUAUUUGCUUUAGUUAUGAGAGGAAUUGUUAACCUCGGAAUUUAUUAUUAUGUCACUGGUUGUUGGUUGGGGUUUAAAUAUUUUAUGUUCAUUCAAAUCUAUUAGCAUAAUGUUUCCAAUUAAACCGUAGUUAUUAUUAUUAUUCCAUCCAUUUAAUAAAGAAUCAUUAUUAAUUUGAUAUAUUAAAGUGAUAAAAAUUACUUUGAUCCAAAGUCAUCAUGUUGGUAUAUAUGUUGGAGCAAACUGAACAGUGAAGUCAAAAUUUAGGACGAUUUAAAAGAAAUUUUGAGUUGAUCGGAAUUGAAAUUCGUAUAAGCAUAGAUUUAGAAAUAUACAUCUCUAUAUACAUGAUUAUAUAUAUAUGAUUAUUUUUUAAAUUAUUUUUUUUAUCAUCUGUACAAUUACGUAAGAAAUCCUCUUAUAUAUAAGGUGAAACAACAAAUAUUUGUGCGUUAGCUUGGCUUUCCUCAUACAGAAAUGUCUUUCCUUGAGAAUGAGAAUAAAUGAUGAAGUACAAAUUUUAAUAACAAUGCUAAUUUAUUUGUAAGUCUUUUUCUGUAAAGUAAUACUUUGGAUAUGUCAAAAUUACCCAAGGUAUUAUUAAUGGGAUCCCAUUAUUAAUUGAAGUAGAAACCCCAACUUUCAUCAUUCUCAAAUAAUUUCUUCUUAAAAUUACCUUUAUUUAUCUGCUUAACCCCAAAUUGCUAGAAAUAAAUAUAUUGUAAUAAUUAUAGCAACAAUCUUAAACCUAGUAACCAUAACAAAAGGCCAUUCUUGACAAAUAUUCCCCUCAUUUUCCUCUUCUCCUUAUUUUGAAAGUAUAUUUAUUUAGGGGUGCUUGGUUCUUCGAUUUGAUUUUAUCAAAUUUUAAUUUGAUUCUUUGAUUUUCGGUUUUGAAAAAGUAUGCACCGAAUCGAAUUAGUUCAAUUUGGUUUUAUUUAUUUCAGUAUUAUUUAAAAUAAUUUUUUUAGUGCGAAUGAAAAAUAAAAUAAGGACCAAAUCAAAGUGUAAGAUACUAAAAAAAUUAAAACAUUUAAAUGUGAUCAUUGAUCAACAACACCUAUCCCUACUCCCAACUCUCAUUAUAUUUACAAAGUUACAACUUUCGAUUCUCUUAACGAUCAACAAUUCAACAUUCAACAACUAUCAAUUCAAAUCCAAAUACAGUGAUCUAUAACGUCAUAUGAUAUGCUGAAAGAGAAUAAAAUGGGGAAGAAAAAGAUACAAUCUUUAAUCUUGGGUUUCAAGAUGAAAAUGAAUGAUAAUUAUACGAGAAGAUCGAGAUGAAAGAAGACUUAACAUACUUUUUUUUAAAUAAUUAAAAUAUAUUAUAGAAGUUUGGUUCUUUGGGUUAAAAUAUUAAUAUAUUAUAAUAUAUUUUCUAAAAAAAAAAUUUAUCAAAUAUUUUUUAAAAGUUUUCUUUGCAAGGAUUAUUUUAAAAAAAUAUAUAAUAAAAGUUUGACACAAUAAGUAUUCAUGAUGAAAAUAUUAAUUUCAAGUGAAUAUAUACAAAAUAUUGAUUGAAUAAUUGAAAGAAAUACAAUUAAGUAAUUACUGGAAUCAGUUAAAUUACUUUGUAUUUUUGACAACGAUUAAAUUACAUUGAACUUGCAAAAUUUUGCACUAUAAAUGAAUAAAACUUAACUUUUUGUUGAAUAUACACAUCUAUUGGAGUGGAUGUUAGGGUAAAAGUUAACCAGCAUAUUAUAAUUAUUUUACAAAAAUUUAAGUUUUAUGCCUUGAAAAUAUAUCUCUGACAGAAGCUAUUCACCAUUUUUCAAAGUUACCUACAAUUUCUAUUAAUUAUUAUUAUUGAGAGUUACUUGAAAUUGCAUUUUCAAUAACCUAAUUAUAUGCACACUUUUUUAUUUGAAAAAUCAAUACAUUGAACUCUUCAUAGAGAGGCAGUUCUAACAAGGUGAAAAUGUUUCACACUUUAUUAAGCACAAAUUACAAAUUUAUUUUACAACCACCAAAACAAAAAAGGAACCUAGCUACCUAGCUAGAUAACAAAUCAAACAAACACAAAUCAAGAACAAAUCACAACACAAACAUCAUUUUACAACUCAAUGAUUAAUUAAAACAAUAAACUUAACUAGCUACCAAAUCUUGGCAUUUGAUAUGCUUUAAUUCCCCGCUCUUCCCAAACCCUCCACCCUUAGCUAAUUAAUAUAAUUAACCACACUUGAAACCUGUGGGAACUUUCUUAGCACAAGCACUAACCAAAGCACUAAGUGCAACAGGAAUAUCUAAUUUGAUAAUCCCAAGUACAUUAGCCUUAAUGGCAGUGCAAAGACAAGCUGCAACUUCCAAAUCAGCCAAACCUUCAAGCAAUGAGCAACAAGGGGUUGUCACUUGGCUACCAAUUGCAACAUUUACAAGGCCAAGUAGGUCACCACAAACACCAAGCUUCAAUGUGUCCCUUGGGCAAUAAGGGUUCACUGGGGGUACCUUUGGUGUUGGGUGAGGCUUUGGCUUAAUUGGUUCACAUGAACCACAAGCACUAGUGAAUGUGACCAAAAUGAGAAGGGAAAAAAUGAAAAUGGUGGAAGAGAGGGUAGCCAUGAUUUUUCUACAGAGCUUUAGUGGUGGUGUAGCUUGGUUUCUAGAGUUUGUGAAUGAUAUGCCCUUAAGGAGUUACUAUUUAUAGAGUUUACCAACUUCUAUACAUAGACGAAGUCGUAAAAGAAUUAAGGGGUCGUUUGGUAGGCCGCAUUAAAAUAAAUAAUCCAUGUAUUAUGUGUGGUAUUAUUUAGUACUAUAUUUGGUAGGAAUUUGGGUCUAUAUAUAACUAAUCCAUGGAUUAGUUAUACCUCCUACAUGGUAUUAUAGGGUGUAUUACUAAUACCUCCAUGGAGGUAUUAGUAAUAUAUGAGAUAUAAUACCAUGGAUAAGUCUAUGUAAAGACAAAAAUAUCCCUCAAAUCAUUUUAAUUAUUUUAUUUUCUUGAUUUUAUGUUUUAUAUUUGUACUAUUAAAUUUAUUUAAAUAAAUUAGCUUACAAAUUAUUUAGAGAAAGUUGUUUGUUACUACAUAAAUCCAACACAAAUUAAUAUAAUAUUUGAAAUGUGAGUUGCUUAAUAUGUAUAUAUAUAUAUUGUGUGUGGUUUCUAAUUAUUUGUAUUUGAACAAUUUAUAAAAUUGCAUACAUAUUAAAAUUAUAACUUGCAAUAUUUUUUAUGUGUAAAUGUAGAUGAUUUAUUUAGUUUUACUAUUGUUUACGUCUUUUCAAUUUUAAAAAUUGAUAGUUUAUUCUUUUUUUAAUUGAAAAUUGACAUUUUGUAAGUAAUAAAUUUACUAAGAUGACAAUUAUUUAUCCUCAAAUAAUUUAAGUGAAAAAAAAGGCAAACAUGACAAAAAAAAUUGUUCUUCUCCUAGCUAGUUAGAAGACCAUAAAAAAAUAAUAUUUUCCGGCAAUUAUUUAUCUUAACCUAAUUACUAAUAAUUCAAGGGUAUAAUUGAAAAGAAGUUUUUUAUAAAGUUUUAACCCAAUUCCAAAAUGGGGUAGGAACCAAUGAACCAAACACUUGGUAAAAAUAAACGCUGCAUUACUAAUCCCUACACUAUUAAUUCCUGCAUUACUAAUUCCUGCACUAUUAAUCUCUACAUUACUAAUCCUAGCAUUAGUAAUCCCUGCAUUAUUAUUUUUGUACCAAACGACCCCUUAGAGUAUACCAACUUCUAUACAUAGACGAAAUUGUAAAAGAAUUUUUACGCUAUCAGAUAACAAUAUAUAAGUGACCUAUGGUAUUUAAAUUUUUCAAAAAUAUUGGCAUGCCCAUGUUAGAAUAUCUUUUAAAAAAAUAUUUUAUAUAAUUUUUGAUGAAGUUGGCAUGUGUCAUUUUUGGAGGAUUAGAUAGGGGUGUUGCAUUGUAACCCUAUCUUUAGAGAAUUUGGGCAACAUAUGUAGCAAAUACUUAACAUAAGACAUGUUACAUGCUAUAAUAAAUUUAAAAAUAUAUUAAUUGAUGAGAAAAUAAAUUUUGAAUCUAAAUCAAUUAACUCAAAAAUUAGUUUAUAAAAAUUGUUCAAGAGCAUAUAAGAAGACCAAAUUCGACUCCCAUCUCACCAUAGAUGUGAAACUCAACACCUCUUGCGCACCCAAUCUUGCCAACAUGAGCAUGGACAAUAUAAUUAAUAUGAGAUUAAUUCCAAUAUUUAUUAAAUCAAGAAUUUAUGAGAUGGACACGAUUUUAAUAUCAUGACAAAAAAAUAGACUUUAAACAUUAUUCAAUCUCAAAAAUUAAAAUUUAUGAAGCAAUAAUUAUCUAAGAUCAUAUAAGAAGCUGAUAAAUUCCUCGUCCCAUCAUUGAUGUGGGACUCAUGAAGAUUAAUAAUAUAGAAACUCUUCAUACUAUAAAUGUGUAUAAGUCAAAAUACAUUAUACAUAGGGGGGAAAUUGUGAGGUUGAAGUUGAAAUUGAUUGAGUGGAAGAGAGUGAAAAAAAAAAAACAGGAUGAUGCUGGAAUAUUUUGUAAGUUUGUGAAGAAAUUAAGUUUAUUUGACCUCAUAUGGCUAAUUUCCCUGGUCACCAUGCAACGUGUAUAGUAGACAGGACAAUGUAAGCCAGUGGGCACAUUAUCUGUCAUGGACCUACCUUAUUUUUAUUUUUUUUACGAUAGGUAAAAAAUGUAGACAUUAAUCGUUGAUUUCUAUAACUUAUUUGCAUCGAAUGUGUAUAUUAAAUCGAUGAAUAUAAGAUAUAUAUAUUGUAUAUAUAUUUUACAUGUGAAUGAUUGGAAGAUAGAAGGGAGGAAGGAAGGAUUAAGUGAAAUCGAUUUAUGUUUCUGUUAGUUAAAUAAUUCAACAUUCAAUGUGCACCAUUCGAACUUUAUGGAGCAUUGAGACGACCGAAUAUAAUAUUAGAUCUAUUCUACUUAGAAUAUAUACAUAAAAUACUAUUAAAAUUAUUUCUAAGCAUUUAUUUUUAGGUAAAAAAAAUACAAAAGAAAAAAGUUAAAAAAUUAAAAAUUGGAUAUGACCAACUUAUGACUUUUUACUUAUAAGUUACUUAAAAAAAAAAACCCAAUUCAAACACUCCUUUGUAGUAAUGGAUGAAUCUACUACUAUACCUCAUCUAUUGAUCAGUAUAACAGAGCAAAUGAUGGUACAGUAAUGAACAUAGAAAUGAUACUAGCAAAUAUAAUCCCAAGAAUCUCGAUUGUAAUUCCAUGACCAAUUAAUCCUUUGCGGUACUAGAAUUUUUGUGACAAAUCCACCCACCCUAGAUAUUAUAAAAGAGAUUAACUUCUCUCUAUAGACAAUAUAGUAUAUUUUCCUUUUUAAACUUAUUAAGUUACCACUUAAAAGAUAAUUAGAGGCACUGUAUAUAAUAUGUGAAUUAGUAACGUGAUUUGUUGGACGAAUAAUGAUGCAAUACUAGCUAGCAUAGGUAAAAUUAUAGUAUUGAUGAUGAUAAAAAGUUUUAUGCUACUAUACAAGUUAAAUCAUGUUUGUAAAUUAUAAAUUAUAAAAACCAUGGCCAUUUAAAAAAAAAUUAAAAAUUAAAAAAUGAAUUCACAAUUAAUCUUGAUGUAUAGCAAUAAUAUUGUACAAAUAUCAUAUGGAAACAAUAUAUCUUUAAUAAUGUUUCCUUGUCCUAUGUGUAUGGUUAUUUGGUCACAUCAAUUAUUGAAGCAAUACAAUUUUACAUGUGCAUUAUGUCUGGCCUGCAUUGCGUUGCUGCCAUUUCCCUCUUCUUUUACUUGUUUUUUUCUUUUGAAAAUGACAGCCAGAUGUAUCAAAUUCUGUGUAACGCGCUUUUGAAGAAGGAUUUAACGGAUCAUAUUUCCUUAAGUAUAAUACAAUUUAAUCUUACUUUUCUCCUAGAAAAGUUAGUUUUACGAAUUGAACAUGUUAGGUAAAAUUGCAUAAUGACAAAGCAGACUCGGAGGAAAAUGUAGUUAUUUAGUUGCGGGUUAUGAAGAAAGAAAAAUAUUUUCAAUUUUUCUAUGGUUGGUGUGACAAAAUGUCUUGAAAAAAAAAAUUCUCCACAAAAACAAGUUCCAUAAAAAUGCGUUAAAUGACUUUCCAAAUAGAAGUAGGGAAAACAAGUUUUACGAGUGAAAUUCCAAGUUCAUUGUCUCCUCCACAACCAUCCAUGCAUGAUGCACCCAACCAACACCCUCCGCCAUCCGCGAUCCCCUAUUCCCCACUCCAUCCCACACCAAUUCUUGAAAUAAUAAUCUAUAAAGAUUAGACAAUCAAAAAUAUUUAGAAAAGUAAAUGGUAAAGAUUGUUAUGACUAUCUACAACAAUGGGAGGGAUUAUUUUUAUCAUUUUAGCGGAUAAGAAUUAAUUAAUUAGAGGUAAAAAUUAAAUCAAUUAUAAUAAUUGUAAAAAAUAAAAAUAAAUCUUCACCAUUUAUUUUUCUAUUGUCUAGUUCUUAUCUCUUUUUUUUCUUUUUCUUUUUUUUAUAAAAUACUUUUUACACCAUUAGGAUAUCUAUUUUAGAAACGGUUGUCGUCACCCUUUUUAUCUUUUCCUUCAGUUAUAGAACGACCAUUUGUUUUUCAAUAUCAUAUAUUUGGGUAAUCAGAGUAGGUUUUCCAUCUUGAAAGAUGUCUAAUAUAAGCUAUUGUUCAAGAUACUCUUCUCAAUGGUUAGUUCAUUGAAGGAAUCAAUUAGUACAACAACUAGCUUUCUCAAUUUUCUAAUGGAAAAGAUAUUCACUCAUCAUCAUCCCCCCAACCCCCGGGAGGCUCGAGGCGCCGGCCCCCCCNNNNNNNNNNNNNNNNNNNNNNNNNNNNNNNNNNNNNNNNNNNNNNNNNNNNNNNNNNNNNNNNNNNNNNNNNNNNNNNNNNNNNNNNNNNNNNNNNNNNNNNNNNNNNNNNNNNNNNNNNNNNNNNNNNNNNNNNNNNNNNNNNNNNNNNNNNNNNNNNNNNNNNNNNNNNNNNNNNNNNNNNNNNNNNNNNNNNNNNNNNNNNNNNNNNNNNNNNNNNNNNNNNNNNNNNNNNNNNNNNNNNNNNNNNNNNNNNNNNNNNNNNNNNNNNNNNNNNNNNNNNNNNNNNNNNNNNNNNNNNNNNNNNNNNNNNNNNNNNNNNNNNNNNNNNNNNNNNNNNNNNNNNNNNNNNNNNNNNNNNNNNNNNNNNNNNNNNNNNNNNNNNNNNNNNNNNNNNNNNNNNNNNNNNNNNNNNNNNNNNNNNNNNNNNNNNNNNNNNNNNNNNNNNNNNNNNNNNNNNNNNNNNNNNNNNNNNNNNNNNNNNNNNNNNNNNNNNNNNNNNNNNNNNNNNNNNNNNNNNNNNNNNNNNNNNNNNNNNNNNNNNNNNNNNNNNNNNNNNNNNNNNNNNNNNNNNNNNNNNNNNNNNNNNNNNNNNNNNNNNNNNNNNNNNNNNNNNNNNNNNNNNNNNNNNNNNNNNNNNNNNNNNNNNNNNNNNNNNNNNNNNNNNNNNNNNNNNNNNNNNNNNNNNNNNNNNNNNNNNNNNNNNNNNNNNNNNNNNNNNNNNNNNNNNNNNNNNNNNNNNNNNNNNNNNNNNNNNNNNNNNNNNNNNNNNNNNNNNNNNNNNNNNNNNNNNNNNNNNNNNNNNNNNNNNNNNNNNNNNNNNNNNNNNNNNNNNNNNNNNNNNNNNNNNNNNNNNNNNNNNNNNNNNNNNNNNNNNNNNNNNNNNNNNNNNNNNNNNNNNNNNNNNNNNNNNNNNNNNNNNNNNNNNNNNNNNNNNNNNNNNNNNNNNNNNNNNNNNNNNNNNNNNNNNNNNNNNNNNNNNNNNNNNNNNNNNNNNNNNNNNNNNNNNNNNNNNNNNNNNNNNNNNNNNNNNNNNNNNNNNNNNNNNNNNNNNNNNNNNNNNNNNNNNNNNNNNNNNNNNNNNNNNNNNNNNNNNNNNNNCUCGAGCCCCCCACCCACCCCGGGAAGCUUGAGGCGUCGUUCCCCGAGCCCCCCCACCAUGAAUUGAUUAAGGAUAAACUCAAAGACUUUUAUUUAAUGCUAAUAAAAAUUAAAACUCUAAAUCAAAGGAGUGAAGGAAAAAAGAAAAAUUUGACGUAUUUAGGAUACGAGGAUGAUUCUGUACUUCCAUCAGCUUUAUUAGGGGGCACUUUCUUCAAAGGCAUCAGUUUUAUUUUUUCCCUACAGUAAUGAAAUUAUAGUUCACAAACCCAAUAAUUUAAGCUUGUUGAUUUUUUCUUCAAAUAUCAGCCACAUCAAUUAUGCAUCAAAAAGUAGACUUCACAUAUAAUAUUGGAACUUCACCAAGAGACAAGUUUAUUAUGCACUUCUUUUUCCAGAUCAUGCUAAGCACUUAAAAUAUCACAAGAAAUGAUGAUGAAAUUCCACUAGCUAACAAUAAAGUCAAUCUUCAAAUAAAUGUAUCAAUUGCAAUGCUCCAUUUGUGGUAAAAAAAUUCAAGAAAAUGUUCACCCAACUCUACAAAGCUAUAUCUAGUUUAACCAUUGAUCUAUGGCUUUUUAAGGAGCUCAGUAGUACUGCAAUUUCACAUAAAUAUAUCAAGGGAGAUGCUCCAAUAGUGGUUUAAAAGUCAAGACACUGAACCUCCCAACUCUACCAAGCUAUAUCCAAUUCAACAAUUAUUAGCUAAGGGUUUCUUUUCAGAGCUCAGUCAUACUGCAAUUCCUUUCUUCAUAGUUCAUCACAUUUAGACAGAACAUGCAGUUUCAAUGUCAAGUUGAAAGCAUUCAAAAGAUCAGCUAAAGGAUGAACUUGAACCUAACUCGUUUACUAUAUUUUACUAGAGCUUCAAAAAAUAAAAGCAAAAAAACUAAACAGUGCUCUACAUUACCUGACACCAAAUAUAUUAAUUUUUUUCAGGAUAAAGCAAAUGCUAUUUAUCGAUUCUAGUAACAAAAUCAUUUUAAGCCAAAGAACCACUAAAUAUUCAACAUACUAUGUCUAAGAACAGCAAAAGGCAUUUCAUGCCAUACAAGAUUGUAUUUCUCGGCAUCAUAACAUACAACACGACAAAAAAUUACCUUCUUCAACUCCAUCUUUGGAGGUGCAGGUUCCUGAUAAAAGCUUGGAAGCAGAAGUGUCACAACACCUUAGUCUUGGCUUACAUAUUACUCUUCUCAACUUCCUCUGCCUGGUUUUUUUUUUUAAGCUUGGAGUAAAACUGUCCAAAUAACAAGACAAAUGUUCUUAGAUUGACUUCACGGUGCAAGACAAUCAAGUAUAUAUUAUAAGCUUCACUGAUGCAAGCAGAGGGCUAAUAUCUUUUCUUUUCUCAGUUCUUUCAUCACACUUGAAACUGCUAUUGUAGGUUGGAAGAGUACCUACUUUGCGAGGUUUGGCAUCUGAUGCAGCAGUAGGACUGCUAUGAAGUGAUCAAGGAUAAACCGAAAGACUUUUAUCAUGCUAAUAAAAAUAAGAACUCCAAAUCUAAGGAGUGAAGGAAAAAAGAAAGAUUUAUAAGGAUACGAAGAUGAUUCUGGACUUCCAUCAACUUUAUUAGGGAGCACUUUCUUCAAAGGCAUCAGUUUUGUUUUUUCCUUGCAGUAACGAAAUUAUAGUUCACAAACCACUGGGGAAAAGUUAUCAUUGAUUGUUUGGCACGUUUUGAAAGCAUUCUCAAUACAAUUAUCAUUUGACUCCUCCAAGUAAUAGGUAAGAAACUACAAGAGAAAUCGGACAUACUUAAGGCCUUCAGACUGAGCAACACUCGGAGAAGCUGAUGCUGCUACUUCAGCAUGACCAGGUUGCUGCUAGAAGACAGUAGAAAAAGAAUAUGAUAUUGAUGACAAUAAACAAGAUGCAUAUGAAGCUAACAGAAAAUGCCUCAUGAGUCAUGAUUAAAACAUGUGUUUUAAAGUAUAAUCAAACCCCAAUAGUAGGCUCUAAAGAAAUACAGUCUCAUUUGUGGUACUGAGUUUAUUCAGGUUAAUGUAUUCGUCUUUCUUGUUAUUCUUAGAAAGUAAUUCCUGAAGAGGAUGAAGAUGAUUAUGAACAUGAGCCUCAUGUACACAUUGCGUCAAAUAAAAUGAAUCAAGAAAACAUUUCACCCUAUGUAGAAGCCAGGUCAAAAGUCGAGCAAAUUAAUACAAACCAAAAGCAAUCUCCCAAGGUCUUCCCUAAAGUGGAGUCCCCUAAAACUCCUUAUUCAUAAGAGCUUUCACCCCUGUGUUACGUCUCUUGUUUGGACAUGUUAAGGACUCAUCCAUGUCUAAUUCUUUGCAUUUAUACCAAGAGUUAAAAAUUAACUCUGCAGACUCCGAUAAAGAAAUGACAGUAUGUUUCAAACCCCUAUUUACAUGAUUUUUUCCUAUCUGGUUUCGAGACAUCUGUGAUAGUUGCUUACACAUGCAUGUGCAGCAUGAAACUGUGGGGAAAAGAAAAUGCUCGAAGGCGGAGCCUUAUUCAAUCAUUAGAAAAAGGGUAUGUCUGUACAAGUCACUUUCUAGUUUCUAAUAUAGGAGGUGAUCAAAUUUUUCUAAAUCUUUUCGAACAAUGACAGUUCUCCGAAUAAUAGUGAUAAAUGAAGUCUCAGCUGCAUUUCUCUCCCAUUGUAAGAUAAGUCGACUGCUCCAUCAAGGACACCAAAAGAUUUUGUCUGUCCAAUAACUGGACAAAUAUUCAAUGAUCCCGUCACCCUUGAAAUCGAUCAAACAUAUGAAGGGAAAACCAUCCAGGAAUGGAUAAAAAGAGGUAAUACAACAUGCCUCAUUACUAGGCAGUCUUUAUCUGCAACUACUCUUCCUAAAACCAAUUAUGUCCUGAAGAGGCUGAUAACCUUUAGGAGGGAACUGCACCCUGAUCUAGCUCAGGAGUUUUCGUACUCGCAAACACAGCGAAGUUAUUUAAACAUUUCGUCUUCAAGAGAGAGAUCAUCUGAGUCUACUCCAUCUCUGACAUUUCAUCAUCCCAAUCAUAGGAGGAUAGAGGAAAUCGUGGAACAAAGAUCACGAAGAUUUAUGCGAGUAGCUGUAUCAAUGUCGUCUCUUACUAGUGUAAUUUCUCAAGCAGCAACUAAGGCAAUUAUCAAUAACUUAAAACCUUAUGUUUCAUGUAUGUGCACUUCAGAGGACUUACAAGAAUGUGAAGCAAUAUUGUCUAUAACUAAGAUAUGUAAUGACUCGAAACUAGAAUCUAAAGGAGUUCACUCUUAUUUGUCAACACUAACAAUAGUGAAUGAAUUUGUAGAGGUAUUAUCAGCUUCCAUAAAGAGAGAUGUCUUGAAGAUGACAAUUUAUAUCUUGUCUGACCUACUAUAUGCAAAGGAUAGUGUUGGCGAGAUCCUCACAAGUGUGGACUCGGAUUUUGAGUGUCAUGCUACGUUAUUGAAAGACGAUCUUCCUGAAGCAGCAUUACUUAUUUAACUACUCAGACCAUCAUUCUCUCAACUUUCAGCUCAUAAUUUUGUACCCUCUCUUACUCAGAUUAAAUCAAACAGAAAUGAGUAUUCUAGUGAUUUUCAGUUCACAAUAGGACCAAAACAAAAAAAGAAAUCCCACAAAUCCUCGCAUAUCAAAAAUCCUCAAAUCACUUCACUUGAUUUUCCCAAAUUAAUUUUUACCCAGAAUCAUCAAUCAUCUUUUCACAAAACCCCACGUAACAUUAAUCAUUUUACUUAUUACAUCCAAGAAAGAAGACCCCCCAAAACAAAGAAAUCACAAAACCCCAUAACCAGCAUACAAAAAAGUGAACCAUCAAACAAGAUAAAACCCAAUACUCAAACAGUAAAAAAAAAGUACACAUAAUAAACAUAUAUCAAAAACAGAGAAAGACUCACAAGUUUGGAGGAAUGAUUUUUCUCCACCGCCAAUGAAUUGCCAGUCGUUUCUUGGCCGCUACAGCAAUCAACUUUCCGGUCUGAUUUUUCUCCACCGCCGAUGAAUUGCCUCCAUUGCUUGUCUCUUCGCCACCGCACUCGAAAUAGACAACGCCUAUUCUGGGGAAAAUUGGGAAAAACACUGAUUUGUUACCGUUACUAAAGAUGUGACAAUUAAAACUUUACAUUAUUCCAUUUUACAUUAAAACUUUGAUUGGACACCAAAUUUUAAAAAAAUAAUAAAAGAUUUUUUAAAUUUGUGAUCUUAAGUAAUAGUUUUGAAUUUCAAUACACUACACUAUAUAGUGAUUUUUUUUUAUGUGUUUUAGGUUUAGGUUUAUUUGAACCAUUAUCUAAAUACUGAAUAGUUUGUAAAUUCGGGAUAAACGAAGAUAGUAAUCUGAAAAGUAACUAUUUGUCAAUUUCUCCCAAAUUUAGAGAUUCAAAAAGCAGUUAAUAAUGAAUUUGAUGAUUUUAUUGUUGCUAGACAAUAUUGAAGUUCAAUUUGUAAAGAAAAAAUUGCACAAGUUUCAUAAAAAAAAUAUUGCCCACCUUUGAAAAGGAAUAAUAUUUUAGAACUUUUAGUUAACGUACUCAAAUCUCUAUAUUAAUAAAUUAUUUUCUUGUAACAACAUCUAAAGUAAUAUACAGUAAACACGUGGCUAAUAUCUUGUUAACUUAAAUCGAUACUUACACAUAUAAGUAUUAGUAUCAUCAGGUGAAUUUAAAUAUUUGAUGUCUUGUAAGAAUUAUUUUAUGAAGUUAAAUAUUUUAUGUCAAGUAAGAAUAUUACAUGGUAGAUUAUAACAUGGCAGAUUAUAACUUUGAAAAAAAAGGCUAAAAUUAUUCUUAUACUUUCAUUUAUUAGCUAAGUUUGUUCUUCGAUGUAUUAUUUGACUAUGACACAAAAAUUGUAACAAACAAAUAUGGAUAUAGCUUUAUUCGAAACAGACGAACGUCGUCAUCGUCAUUUCCUCCAAUGGGGAAAAACUUUACUGAUUUGUGACCGUUUAAUUCGGUUCAAAUUGGACAGGUGGUAUUUUUAAUUUAUUUUUUAAAAAUAUUAUUAUUUUCUUUAUCUUGUAUUUAAAUUGAGUUAAUACACAUUUUUUGUAUCCAAACUAUUUUUUACCUUCAUUCAUUAUUUUUUUCUCUUUUAUUUUUCAAUUGAUUUUAUUUUCUUCGCCUUUUGUUUUGAUUUGAUUUCAGAUUUAAUUCCAAAUGUCUUGUAUUUAAAAUAAGCUAAUUUUAAAUAGAUAUCAAAAUAAGUGAAAUCAAAUAAAACAUAAAAAAAAUUAUAAUGUUAAAAUUAAAGGAAACUUUUAAAUUAUUUUAAAUAAAAUAAUUAAAAGUGAAAAGAUAAUAAAUUAAUUUAAAAAGUUUAAAGUGAAAUAAAUUAAAAUAAAUAUUUUAAGAAGAAAGAAAUAUAAAUAAUUUAAUAUAUAUAAGUUUUAAUAUCAAUAAAUAUGUGUACUAACUAAUAAUAAACUAAAUAUUUUUCGAAGAAAGAAAUAAAAAUAAUUUAAUGUAUAUAAGUUUUAAUAUCAAUAAAUAUGUGUACUAACUAAUAAUCAAAAAAUGACAUUGUCCAAUUUAUGCAGUCAUGGCUUGCUUUCAAGAGAAUGUGCACACUCUCUAUGCCAUGUCAACAUUUGUGGUGUAUUUAUUUCAUUUUAAAUUAGUUUAGGAUGGUAAUAUAUAGGACCCUAGUUAAGUUUAUGCGUGUCUUCGGAAUUUAAGUCAUAUUCGAAUUCGAGAGGGUAUUUGUAUCUUAUCCCAAAUACUUUUUGCAAAAAUUAUAACCAAGUACAACUAUUUUAAACUCCUCCACAAAUUCUAACUAAAAUGAAAAAUAUUUAUAGUCUACAAUCAUACGUCUACUAAGACUAUUAAUUUGAAGUGAAGUUCAUUUUUAAUCCAUAGGGUUUGUUUCAAAAUUUUGGAAUUACAUUUGGAGAUUAUUUUGAAUUAAUUUUUGUUUAUUAAACUAGUCACAUUUGAAAAAAAGCUUCCUGAAGUUCAUUGACAAAAAAUUGAAUUGUAUUUUUACGUCCAAACACAAUAAAAAGAAAUGACCUAUUUUAGGUCUUAUCUCUAAGUACUUGUAUUUCAAUUUAUGUGAGACAUUUUUAAUUUAUUCAAUUCUGGAAAGAAUGUAUUUAUUUUUCUUGAUUGACAAAUAUUUGAGAAAUUAUCAAUUUUUGCUCAUAUUAGGUCUCACUUAUUUGACAAAAAGUUCAGUAAUGUUAUUCUUCUAUUUAAAAAUUCAUUUCCUAAAGAUAGUUUUGACAAUUAUAAUUUUUUAUAUUUCCUAAUAUUCAUGUUCAGUCAAUUUACAUAUAUUAUAAAAAUAAGAACAAAUGGAGUAAUUACUAUGAAUAAUUUGUCCUAUGGUUCAUAUUGAUACUCUACAAACUUUCUAUAAAUAGAAUUAUAUUCUUUUUGAGGUUUUAUUUCUCUUAAAAUAAUUUCAAAAAUGAAAUUGUACGUUUCUCCAUUCUCUAUAAAAUAAUCUGGGAGUUAAUUUUUGUCAAUUGCAUACUAAAAUUACUUUUGUUUCAUAAAAUGCCAACUAAGAGAGAAGAAAGUCUUUGAAGUGUUUAGUGUAUUUUUAAAAAAAAAACUAGAAAUACAGUAGUUGAAUGAUAUUCACAAACAUUUUUUAUAGACAAUUCUCAAAAUACGAGUGACCAUCCAUGCAAACAACUCGUUAAUUGAAAUGUAAAACUUCUUUUCUUAAAGAGAAGUAAUUCUUCCUUAGUCUGAACAUAUAUCAUAUACUUCAAUGUCAUAUUUAUAUUGAUUAAAAAUAAUUUAACGUUUACAUUAAUAUAAUGAUUCAUAGUGAUAGAAAUAUCUACGAUUUGUUUUAGACCAUAAAUUUUAAAAGUAUUUUUUUUUAAAAAUAUUAUUUUAAAUUAAACGAUACCAUAUAAAUUGAGAUGGAGUAAUAUUAUAUAUAUAGUACAACAUUUUGUCAUACGAUACUUCAAGAAAUGCUCAGGAAAGUUUUGUCAUUUUUGUAGGUCUUAUCCAAUGUAAGAAGCUAAAAAAGCUAUGAACAUUGUUUUGCCAAUUAAAAAAAUAAAUAUCCGUAGAUUCUCUCUCCUUUGGAAAAGUAAUAAUUCAAACAAUGUUGAUCCAAUAGAUUGCUAGUUGUCAUUUGUUAAGUAGUAGACAUAUGUUUCAAUUUAUUUGUCUUAUUUUUUUUAGUUUAUUUUAAGAUGCUUUUUUAUAAUUUUUUAAUUCUAUUUUUUCACGUAACAUAUUUUGAAACCACAAAAUUAAAAGACAUUUUGAUAUAUUUUACGUAUUUUUAGUUUAAGAUCGUAAGAUUCAAUUUUUUUUAAAAAAAUUAUCUUAAAUUUCGUGUCAAGUUAAAAUCAAUAACAUUGAAACUGUGAAAGUAAUGUAUGUGUGGAAUUAGAGAUAUUUGUUGCAUAGACGAAAAAAUGACAGAGAUAAUCUCUUAUAUUUAAGAUAAGUUUAAGAUAGACCUUUAAAUUCGGAGUUGAUAUAGUUUAGACAAAAUCAAAAUCCUAUUUUUUUUUUUUUAAUAUUUGAUUUGCAUUUCAAAAUCAAGUAUUUUAAAAUUUUGUCCAAGAUUUUAAAGUUUUAUAAAUCUUAAUACUAAUUGCAAUACUCUACUAAUCAAUCAAUAUACUCACUAGGCUAGAUGAUAUAUGCUAAAAACCACAACUUUUUUUUUAUUAUUUAAAGUUUUACCUCAGGUUAGUUAAGUAACUUCUCGAGCAAUUUUAUAUUACAACUCAAUAAUAAAAAAUAUUAUAAUAUACUCCUAAUCUAGAAAGCUAAACAGACUUCACAAUAGGUUACAUAAUCCAAGCCUAAUCAACUCAAGAACUAAAACAAUUUUGUUAUUUAUAUAUAUANNNNNNNNNNNNNNNNNNNNNNNNNNNNNNNNNNNNNNNNNNNNNNNNNNNNNNNNNNNNNNNNNNNNNNNNNNNNNNNNNNNNNNNNNNNNNNNNNNNNUAAUAUAGCUUAAGAUCAUACAAAAAUAAAGUUUUUUCAUUGAAAAAGAAGAAAUAACUUUGAAUUUUAAUAAUAAAAAAUUUAAUAAAUAAAUAUUAUUCCCCCGAUUUAUUUUUUUCUUUAGGCACUAAUUAGCUUGAGCCUCCACUGAAAAAUUAAGCUAUAAUGUUGAAACCAAACACAAGCGGAACAGGGAGAAACUAAAUGGAAAUAAAUUACCUUUUCCGAAGCAGCAUUCUGGAAGUGAUAAAAUGCUUCCACCACCACGAGGCCUGACUCAAGAAGCAGAGACCUGAUGCAAAACUUGAGAGUUUAAAUGUGAAGGACCAAUCAAGUGAAGACACAUAGGGUAAUGUGUCAUUUUGGGUGAUGGGUGAUGAAGGUUCACUAUAAUACAAACACAAUUUUUUAUUUUUUUAAAAAAAAAUAAUUUUUCUUAAAAAAAUAUUGUUCCUAAAAAUGGAUGUUGAGUAUUAUAUAUAUGUUUAAAAAAAUCCUAUUUAACACGAAUUAUAUACAUGUAAAAAUAACUAAAACUAUAACAAUCGCAGGUAAUAAUUCACCACUUCAAAAAGAUAAGUAGGUUUAAUACUCUUAUAACUACUAAAUUCAUAAAAUUUAAAUUAUAAAUUUAUUUUUAUUUAUUCCCUUCUAAUUAUAUAUAUUCACAAUUUUUUUGACAGCACAUUUAACAUGGUUUCAUAUUCGAUUUAUAUUAAUAUGUAAAAAAAAUUAUUUCUUUAUUGUUGUGUGUCAUUAAUAUAUUUUUCUAUUAAGAUUAGAUUUUUGGAUCCUACUUAAGUCAAUGGCUAUUUACUGUGCAUAUGAAUGAUUUGAUUUUACUUAAAAUUUAAAAUUUUGUAGAAUUGCAAUUUAUGUUAGAACAUUAAUAUAUUUUCCUAUUAUGGUUAAGCUUUGGAUUUGUUUUUGCUAAAGUAAAUUAGGAUUCUGAUUUUGCUUCUUAUAAAAGAAAAAACUAAAGAAUUUUGGUAUGUAAUUUAUUUUACAGCUAAUUGUAUUCGUAUUUGUUAACUUCAACAAGAUAUUUCAUUAUAUAAUUUCCUUUUAUAUUAUUGCAUCUUAAUUUAUUUCCCAUUAAGAAUAGAUUUUUGAAUCCUACUUAAGUCAAUGGCUAUAUAUUGUGCAUAUUAAUGAUUUGAUUUUACUUAAAAUUUUAAAUUUUGUAGCACUGCAAUUUAUGUUAGAACAUUAAUAUAUUUUCCUAUUAUGGUUAAGCUUUAGACUUGUUUUUGCUAAAGUAAAUUAGGAUUUUGAUUUUGCUUCUUAUAAAUAAAAACUAAAAAAUUUUGGUAUGUAAUUUAUUUUACAGCUAAUUGUAUUCAUAUUUGUUAACUUCAACAUGAUAUUUCAUUAUAUAAUUUCCUUUUAUAUUUGAUUUUACUUAAAAAAUUAAAUUUUGUAGCACUGCAAUUUAUGUUAGAACAUUAAUAUAUUUUCCCAUUAUGGUUAACCUUUAGAUUUGUUUUUUCUAAGUAAAUUAGGAUUUUGAUUUUGCUUCUUAUAAAAAAAACUAAAAAAAUUUGGUAUGUAAUUUAUUUUACAGCUAAUUGUAUUCAUAUUUGUUAACUUCAACAUGAUAUUCAUUAUAUAAUUUCCUUUUAUAUCAUUGCAUCAUUAAUUUAUUUCCCAUUAAAGUUAAAUCUUUGAAUCUUAUUCAAGUCAAUGUCUAUUUAAUGUAAAUGCAUAUAAAUAAAUUUAAGUUUACUUUAAAUUUGAAAUUACUCUAAUUUGCAAUUUAUGUUAUUUCUAAUUAUAAUCAAUUAUUUUUUAUUGUCUAUUUGAAUUUGAUUAAUUUAUGCAAAAUAUUAAGAUAUUUCCCAAAAUAUUAAGAUAUUUCCUAUUAUAGAUAACUUUCAGAUUUAUUUUGUUACUAUAUUGUUUUGUUUAUCAUACAAAAAGUUUUUUUUUUUUUUAAAUGGAGUAUUAUUUUGUCUUUUUAAAAUCAUAUUUUCUAACUUUAACUUAAUAAAUUUCAUGAGUGUAUUAAAAUAUUUGAUUAAAAAAUUAUAUUUUAAUAAUGUGGUGAAUAUACAAAAUAUAUUUACAGUAUAAUAUUGAAUUAAUUUCCUAAUUUUCUGUAUGAUGAAAAUAUUAUUUUUAUUUGUGUUGUUUGACUAAAGAAUUAAUUAUAUGUCAUUUAAUAAGAAAAUUGAUGUAUAUAAAUAAGUGCGAUGUCAUCUUUUCAUAAGUAUCAUUUGUUGAAAAACGUUUUAUUUAGGCAUGGAGAGAAAAAAGACUAAAGGACGUCAAAAGAUACCAAUGAAAAAAAUUGAAAAUAAGGAUUCCAUGUUUGCUACAUUUACAAAGCGUCGUGAGGGUUUGUACAAAAAAUCUAGCGAACUCGCUACAGAAUGCAAUGUUGACAUUGGAAUAAUGAUGAUUUCCUCUACUGGUAAGCCUCAUUCAUUUUUUCACCCUACAGUUAAUGCAGUUAUUUCUCGUUUUCAGAAUCCUGAUAUGCAGUUAGGUGAAAGUACAAAUCUAGAAGCAAAUGCUGCUAGAAAUGAAGUGAAUCAACUCAAAACUAGGCUUGAAGAACUUGAUGUCAUAGAAGACAUUGCGAUUGCUAAGAAAAAUUCUUAUGAACAAAUGGAAGAAACAAGACAAAAAGGUUGGUGGGAGUCGACUGAGAAGCUCAAUCCAGAUGAAGUGUUCAUAUUUGAAACUUGGUUAAAUGAAACUAGUUCUAAUUUACAUCAUCGUUUGAAUCAAUUAGAAAUUGAAGCUUCAUCCUCAAUGAGAUAUGAAUCUUUUGGAGUGUGAAAUUUGAAAAGUUCAAAUUGCAAAUGAUUCACCCUAAAUUAUCACUUAUGGAUAUAUUAGGGAAGACUCUAGUAAGUCUAAAUCUAUAUUAAUAAGUUGUUGUGUUUUAAAUAAAAUUAUUUCAAUAAAGCUACAAGCAUGUAUCUGAUAUGAUUUUCAUUAAUAAUAUAUUGAUAUGGUUAGUCUGAAUUAUUGUUUAUGAGAACAAAAUUUCAUGUGUUGUUUAGAAAUACUUUUAUAUAUAUAUAUCGACAUAAUUUAUCGAUGACUGCAUAAAAUUGACAUCAAAUUUCAUUUAAACAUCUCAACUAAAAUUUAUUUAUUUUAAACACAUCAAAUUAAUAAGACUUGAUGAUGUCAUUUCAACAUGUUUUACUAAGUCGGCACAUUUCUAUAUGUUUUACUAAGUCGGCACAUUUCAACACGUUUAACUAGGGAUGACAAUGGAGCGGGGGGAUGCAGGGCGGCGUGGGUAGAAUGCGGGGCAGAUUGAGAUGGGUGUUUUAUAAACUAAUGCGGAAUGGGGCAGAUUGAGGAUAUAUAUGAUUUUAUGUUGGUUCAAACUUAAAUUUAACUUUUUACAUGUUAUAAGAGUGAUAGAGCAUUAUUUAUUAAGAUAAUUUUUAUAAAGCUACUAAAAUAUUCAAGAUAGUAAAUCAAAAUGGUUCAAUAAAGAAUAUACAAUUUCUUACAUGUAUCCCAAUGACCUCUAAAAAUAAAUUUUUAAGUCACUAUCCUAUUAAAUUAAUACAACUUAAUGAAAAGUGAAUUUAUUUUUAUGAAUUUUAUUUUUAGAAUCAAACUUAACUAGAAAAAUAAAAUAUUUAAAAAUUUAUGCAGUGCGGUGCAGAGUGGGGUGGGGCGGAUUGAAAAUGAAAAAAGUUAUUAUGUGGGACAUGGCGAGGCAGAUUAAAAAAUAUGCGGGUUAAGCUCAACCCCCACCACCCCAUUGUCAUCCCUACAUUUUACUAAGUCGGCACAUUUCAACAUGUUUUAAUAAGAAGGUCAUGCUUGUUAAAGGAGGAGAAGAUGUGAAAACGGGGGAGAAAAAAAAGAAGUGGUGCAUAUUUUUUUUAUUUUCUUCUUUAUUGAAAUGUAGUUUUUAUUAAAAGUAAUUAAUCAAAUAACUUUAAACAUGAAUUUUUGUUCACAAUUUAUAUUUUUAACAAUUAUUUUUGGUAUAUAUGUCACAUGUUUUUAUUUAAUUCGCUACUUUGACAUAUCAUCGGCAACUGUGUUACACGCAUCUUAAUAUUUAAAUAAGCGUCAAAAUGACAUAAUGAAAUUUCACAUGAGGUUUUUAAAAUGAACAAACCUUAAUUGAGGUGUCUAAGUGAAAGUUGAUGUCAAUUUUAGGUGGCCACCGACGAUUUUUGCUUAAUAUAUUGCAUACAAAAGCAUUUGUAUACAUUACAUCAAUGAAUCGUGAUUAAUUUUUCCUCUCAAUUGAUUUAUGAUUAAAAAAAUAAAUAUUGUGUUGGUGGUUUAAUUUAAGCUGAGGCGCGGAUAUUUCGCUCUCUUUAAGGAGAUUCAAGCCCACUGCAGCAUAAUCUACACCGAUCCAGCAAUAAUACUCUUGACUUGUCCUUCCAAGAUACAACAACCCAACAACAUCGUACAACUCAAGCAACUCCAGAUUUAGUUGAAGAGUCCAAAGCUUUAUAUAAGAACACCUUCCUUCAACAUAUAAAUAUUCUCUUUUCUAUAUAUAGUGAAUAUAGUUGAAGACUUGGAGUAUUUUCUUUGUCUCAAUUCUCUCUUUCACUACACUUACCUCACUAUACACUACAAUAUUAUUCCACACAUCUCAUCUUUUUUUGAUAUCCCCUUCAUAAAUGAAGAAAUACCACUGUUUAUAGGGGAGAAAUUCUUCUUUGUAUUGAAUAAGAAUAAUGUGGAUAUAUAUAAUGUAGGUAAAUGAAUGGUCUAAAUGUUACAUAAGUUACAAUGUAUAAUGAGGUAGAAUAAUGAGUGGAAUUAAUGGUAGAUCGUGUCAAUAAUGGUUAUAAGAGUUACAUCAAAAUAAUGACCACAUUCUCGUCAACUUAUACCACUAAACUUAACUUAAUAUUUUAAUAUUAAAAUGCAUAUACACCAACAUAUUGUUCAUCUAUUUUUUUGUGAUAAUAUAUACCAUGACACAAAAAAAUGAAUUCUUCAAAGUAGAUUAAGAUAUAUGUUAGAUUUUUCUGACACAAGGGGGAGAAAAUAAGCAACUAUGAAAUACUCGAUAAAUUAAUAAUUUCUCUAAGAUAAUGUAACACCCCAAAAAUUUCUAAGUUAAUUAAGACUCGAACCAUUCUUCAUUUACCUGAAGGGUCAUAUCGGGUGAUUCUUAAAUUGCUUAUAUGUGUAAAGGUAAAUUCUUUAGUUUGGGAAUGAUUUUGGAUAUUAAUUAAGGUAACUAGAAUCUCCUAACACAAAGUUGAGUUGAAAGUUUCCUUACCGAUUAAGUUUUGAUGUAAGAUUCUACUUGGAUCAACUUCAAACGACCAUAUCUCUUAGAAUAUAGGAGUUAUGUGGCCUAUAACCUAUCAAAUUAAAGGUAUUUUAAUCUACUUUCCAACGUCACCAAUUUCGCGUCAAUCCAAUUUCUGAGUAAAAAGUUAUGACCAUUUUAGUAACUGAUACAGUGCAGUGACGAAUUAGCCAAUGGAAAAAUAUUAAAAAAGGACUUUUUGUCUUUUUACCUCCAAGAAAACUCUAAACGGAUUUCUGGACAAAUAUAAGGCUCAAAACAAUCAGAUUUUCAUCUUUUAAUUCAUCAUUCUCUUCUCUCUCAAACCCUAGGGCAAAAUCCUAAGGAAAAAUAAAAGUAGAAGACUCCAUUCAAAAUUCUUUCAAUCAUUUUCAAGAUUCUUCUUCAAGGUAAGUUUUUCUCCUAGAAUUUAAUUAUUUUCAACUCAAAUUCCUCCAUAAUUCUUGGCCAUAGAGAUUUCAAGAAAGUAAUUCAAGAAUCUCAAGAAAGGUUUUCUUGAUUAUUCUCAUUCAAGCUAGGGUUUUAAAUCUUCUAACCAAGUUCUUUUUCAAGAUUCAUGAAGAAUCUUGUUCUUUCAGGUAUGUAAGGCUAUCAUAGUGUUGGACUAGUUUGUCCUCACGCCCUACAUCUACUUUCAAAUCAAUAAAAGAAAAUCUAGGAUUCUUUCCCUAGAUUUGAGUAUUCUUGAGAUAAGUUGAUUUUGAGUUCUUGAGUUCAUGUUUCUUUUAAACAGAUUCUAUUCCUAAUUAUUGAGUUUCUAUAUUUUUAUUGAGAUCCUUGAUUUGAUUUGUUCAUGUCUAUAUUCAGCAUGAACCCUAUGAUUUGAGUUAUAAAUUUUGAAAACUUUUAAAGCCAACACUUGAGUUCUUAAACUGAGUUUUGAGAAAGUAAAGAUGAGUUUUAGGAAAAAAGUUUCUAAACCAUGAUUAGUAUGACAAUCGAGUAUGCCAUGAAUGUAUGAGCAGUAUGGUAUCUAGAUAUACCAUCAAUGUUUAUGCAAUAUGACUUUCCGAGUCAUCAAUGAUCAUAUUAAAAUAUGAUUUUGAUAUAUUUUUGAGAAAGAGUUUUCAAGUAUGAAUUGAGUAAGAGUAUAAGGGGGCUAUGUAUUCCCAGAGGUAUCAAUUUUUACAUUGAUAAAAGAACUAAGAUUCCUAAAUGAGUUAUGAGUUCAAAAGAUAUUUCAAGAGCAGUUACUUCUUUUAAGAGGGUAGUUUGAGCAAUUAUCUAAAACUAGAGGAAGAGUUAUGUUUUUAAACAUAUGAGCAUGAGUAUAUAUUAUUAUGAGUAGUAUUGAGCAUCGAUAUGAGGACGAGUUCAGACAACUCAAAGUCCUCAUAAACCAUGUAUGCCAACAUGGGUAAAUGGUCAUAUUUUUUAGAUGAUUCCUUAUUUUCUUUUUAAGCAUAGCUUAGUGGAUCUACUUAGUUGAGGUGUCCUAUAUCCUGACAAGGUAUAGGACAGUUCUGGCAACGUGGGCGAGACGUUGUUUCAUCAUGUAGCUCAUAGUGAUGGUUGUUGGUUCGAGAAUCUCCCAAAUAGAGUUAAAGUGUAUUUUUAUAUAUAACUUAUUAUGUUGAGUUCAGAGAUGAGAACGUAUUUUGUAAAACUUUAAAUGAUUUUAGCUCCUUUAUAUCUUUACAUUCAGCUUGAGUACAUUGUUAUCUAUUCCAGUCCUUUCUUUCUGUUAUUUGUUAUUUAGCUAUAUUACAUACUCGUACAUUCAAUGUACUGAUGUCAUUUGACCUGCAUCUUUUAAUGAUGCAGAUACAAUUUAUUAGGAUCCUCAACAAGAGUCUGUUGAGAUCACUUCAUCUGUUCGUCAACUUUCGAAUGAGGUCUCUUUGUUUCCGGAGGACUCCAGUCUUAUGAGACUCAUCUUUGUAUAAUAGAGGCUUCAUUGAUAAACAGUUUUGUAGAGUCUUUCAGUUUCAAAUGUUUUAUUUAAAACUUAUGUUUCAUAUUCAGUUCAGUUUUAAGAUUCAGUAAAUUGUUUUAAACGUUUAUGUCAAUUUGAUGCUUAUGUAUGCUUGAGUUAGUCUUCCGCUUGUAGUCAGCCAUGAUGUAGGCUCGGGACCAGCAAUGGUUUUCGAGUGCUGGCCACAUCCAGGAUGUAGGCUCGGGUCGUGACAGAUAAUAUUUUCUCCAAUCACGACUUGGACCAGUGAAAAAAUCAACUAUUCUGAUAAGAUAAUAUAUUUUCAGAAAACCUAUAUAAAUAUAUGGUCUCAUUAAUAUUAUAAAUUAAUAAUUCCUUAAAAGUACAAAUAUAUCCAAGACAAUUUAAUGAAAUAUGAUUCUAUUGUGUAUUUUUUUUCUUAAAAUUUAAAUCUAGUUGAAGCUCAUUUCUAACUUUUCUUAUCGCAUUCAAAAGUUCUGACAAUGUCUUUUUGAAGUGCACCAUAAAAUUCAGCUGAUCGUUUGAGUGUGUUUGGUAUUGUACCUUGACUAGCUUUUAAAUGAAAUUUUUUCAUUAAUCCAUGACUGCAAAUUCUUUUGAGAGCAUGUGGAAUGAUCUCUUUGUACUCACAUAAUGCUUUAUGUUUUUGAUCCGUCAUUGUUGAUUUUGUGACAUCUUUUAAAUAAGAAGCCAUUUUUGGAUAUGGUUUUCAAAAUUUUCUAUAUUGCUUAUAUAAUUUAUUGUCUCACCAUCAUACAUUAAAGUGUUUGUAAUAAAGAUACAAUGAAUAAUAUUUGAUUAUUAAAAAAUAAUGUACAUUAUGUACAUUACUUUUACUAUGAAUCAAUGAAUUAUUGAAUUUAUAUUUACAACAAAUCAUUUAACAAAAUAAUAUAUUACAAUGGAUCAUACACAUACAUUGUACUUUACGUAUAGUGAUUUUUUUUAUAUGAAUUCAAUAAAUAUGAUACAUAAUUUAGCAAUAUACAAUGGUUUUGACAUAUUCAUUGUACAUUAUGUAUAAACUUUUUUUUAAUGUGAAUUCAAUAAAUAUGAUACAUAAAUUAGUAAGAUACAAUAAAUUUGAUGUAAUCAGAAUUAACAUUCAUUGAAUCUCAAAAUAUUCUUUAAAUUGAUAAAUAUCAUUCUAUGGAUAAAAUAAUAAUAUUUCAUAAUUCCACUUAUAUUAAUUUAGUGAUGCUUUACUGUAGAUGAAAUUCUUGUCUAUUUCACUAAAAAUUUUACAUUACAAGCUCACAAACACAAACCCAACAAAUUAUAUGUGGAGUGAUUUUUCCAUUUUGAAUUAAUUUCUAUCAAGGGAAAAGGGUCAAAUAUCCCCCUAAACUAUUCAAAAAGGUUUAGAUAUACCCCCGUUUAAAGUUUGGUUCACUCAUGCUCUCGCCGUUCAACUUUUGGUCUAAAUAUGCCCUUAUGGCGUUAGUUGGCCUGCUGAAAAUUUCCAAUUCAUUUUACAUUUCUUUAAAUGACAAAUGGAAUUGAAGGGAAAGGGGUCACUUAUGCCCCUAAACUAUCCGACCCACUUUUAAAACACAUACCCAUAAAUCACCCCUCUUUUAAAUAAUAUAUCUUACCCAUUUUCAACAAUUUUGUUUAAUUUUUAUUUUUUUCGGUAAAUCCCGAAAAUGAGUAAUUGAUUAAUAAAAAAUAGGAAAAAUAUGAAAAAAAUAUAAAGUUAACGCAAAAAAUUUACAAAUAAAUAUAGUAACCUUAAAUUCAACAAUUUUAAUAUUUUUUUUUUAAUUUUUUUUUUUGGUAAAUCCCAAAAAUGAGUAAUUGAUUAAUAAAAAAUAUGAAAAGUAUGAAAAAAUAUAAAAUUAACGCCAAAAAAUCACAAAUAAAUAUAGUAACCUUAAAUUCAACAAUUUCAACAAUUUUUUUAAUUUUUAUUUUUUCGGUAAAUCUCGAAAAUGAGUAAUUUAUUAAUAAAAAAAGGAAAAAANNNNNNNNNNNNNNNNNNNNNNNNNNNNNNNNNNNNNNNNNNNNNNNNNNNNNNNNNNNNNNNNNNNNNNNNNNNNNNNNNNNNNNNNNNNNNNNNNNNNNNNNNNNNNNNNNNNNNNNNNNNNNNNNNNNNNNNNNNNNNNNNNNNNNNNNNNNNNNNNNNNNNNNNNNNNNNNNNNNNNNNNNNNNNNNNNNNNNNNNNNNNNNNNNNNNNNNNNNNNNNNNNNNNNNNNNNNNNNNNNNNNNNNNNNNNNNNNNNNNNNNNNNNNNNNNNNNNNNNNNNNNNNNNNNNNNNNNNNNNNNNNNNNNNNNNNNNNNNNNNNUUUUUUAUUAAUAAAUUACUCAUUUUUGAGAUUUGCCGAAUAAAAAUAAAAAUUAAACAAAAUUGUUGAAUUUAAGGUUACUAUAUUUAUUUGUGAAUUUUUGGCGUUAAUUUUAUAUUUUUUUCAUACUUUUCAUAUUUUUUUAUUAAUCAAUUACUCAUUUUCAGGAUUUACCGGAUUUUUUUUAAAAUUUUUUUAUUGAGAUUGUCGAAUUUAAGGUUACUAUAUUUAUUUGUAAAUUUUUUGCAUUAAUUUUAUAUUUUUUUCAUAUUUUUCCUAUUUUUUAUUAAUCAAUUACUCAUUUUCGAGAUUUAUCGGAAAAAAAAAUAAUUGUUGAAAACGGGUAAGAUAGGUUAUUUAAAAGAGGAGUGAUUUAUGAGUCAGAUAGGUGUUUUAAAAGUGGGUCGGAUAGUUUAGGGGCAUAAGACACCCCUUUCCCUUUUAAUAUAAAUGCCACGUGGCAAUUCCAUUUGUCAUUUAAAGAAAUGUAAAAUGAGUUGGAAAUUUUCAGCAGGCCAACAAACGCCAUAAGGGCAUAUUUAGACCAAAAGUUGGACGGCGAGGGCAUGAGUGAGCCAAACUUUAAACGGGGGUAUAUCUAGACUUUUUCGAAUAGUUUAGGAGCAUAUUUUUUAUCAACUAUAAUUAUUUUAUAUAAUAUAAAAUUUAUUAUCUUCAAAUAAUAAUAUAAUAAAAUUAUUAUUUUAAGACAUGUCAAGUCAAUACGGAACAAAUAAAAAUCAUAUCAAAUAUCAUCCAAACACAUGCUUGCCAAAUUUAAAUUCAAAUAACAAACCAUGAUUGGUGGCAUUAAAGUUAGUUGACAGCUCGGAAAGGGUAAAGCGUGGGUCAAUCAAACGCCUAUCUCUUCAUCGCCUUCUUCCUCAAAAAAGAAAAAAAAGGUAAACGCUCUACUGUAACGAUUCGAUUUUUUUCAAACUUAGCUCUAAAUUUAUAUUAUUGAGACGGAUCUAGAAUUUGAAAUUUGUGGGUAUAUAUACAUAUUUUUAUAAAUUUUGAUACAAAUAUGUUUAUACAAACGUAGAGACGGAUCUAGAAUUUGAAAUUAUGAUAUGCAUAAUCAUAAUCAUAAUCAUACAUAUUUUUAAUUUUGUAUGUAAAUACAGAGGAAGAAAGGUGCAGAGGAAGAGAGAUGACGAUACUGUAUGCGCUGGUAGCGAGGGGAUCGGUGGUGUUGGCGGAGCAGAGCGGGACGUCAACGAACGCGAGUACGAUCGCGAGGCAGAUUUUGGAGAAAAUUCCGGGGAAUAAUGAUUCCAAUGCUUCGUACUCACAGGAUCGGUAUAUUUUCCAUGUUAAACGCACUGAUGGACUUACUGUCCUCUGUAUGGCGGAUGAUAAUGCUGGAAGUAAGCAAUUACCCUUUUGUAUAAUGCAGUUAUGUUGUUAGAAUGUGUUUAAAUUCCUGUUUAUGUUGAUUCAGCUUUUAUGUUUUGUGUCUUUACAAAUUACAAUUAAUCUAGAUAUAUCUAAAUAACAACAACAACAACAUCAUAGUCCAUGUAAUUUGACAAGUGGGGCUGGGAGGGUGGUGACUGCUGUGUAUACAACCUUAUUCUGAAGGUAGAAAAAUUGUUUUCGAUAGCCUCGGCUCAAAUAUAGAUAUAUAUAAACAACAGCAAUGACAUGGGUUUGGGGAGAGUGGUGUGUAUGCAACCUUACCCUGAAGGUAGAGAGUCUGUUUCUGAUGGAUACUCGGCUUAAAUCUAGUUAUAUCUAAACAAAAACAACAUAACCAGGGUAAUCUCACAAGUGGGGUUAGGGUAGGUUGGUGUGAAGAUAACUAUACUUCAGUGAGUUGGUGAAUGGAUAUAUUAAUCCCACUAGGACUCCUCUCAGUGAUCAAUCUUUGGGCUUAAAGCCAUUUUAUAAAUCCGAGAAACAGAAUAUUGUGAAGUGUUGUCUUUUAAGCAGCCUUAUGGUCUUUAGUUACAGGUUCAUUUCACAAUAUCAUUGGAUAAUAUCCUGCAGCAUUGGUAAUUCUGAUCUUCUUGAUAUAUAUUUAUAUUUUUAUUCUGUCUUAGGGAUAUCUAUUCUAUAUACUUCUUUAAUAUAUUUUACCUUGGCAUCUUUUCCUUGGUUUUGUAUCUCCUAGUACAUUGUGUAAAUAUACUUUGGUUAGUUGUUCCCAAAAAAGAAGAAGAUUUGUAGUUGUACACAGACUUCUCCCUUUAAUUUAGUUCGAAUUUAGAUAGUGGUUUAGUUCUUUAGUAACACCACAGAUUUCAUUUUCAUUUUUGAUAUGUUGCCUUGGAAGAUUGUCAUAUAUUGUGGAUAUUUUACUAUACUAAAUUCCGCUACAGGAAGAAUCCCUUUCGCAUUUCUUGAAGAAAUUCACCAAAGAUUUGUGAGGACCUAUGGCCGAGCAGUUCUGUCUGCGCAAGCUUAUGGUAUGAAUGAUGAAUUUUCAAGGGUGCUUAGCCAGCAAAUGGAAUACUACUCUAGUGAUCCAAAUGCAGACAGAAUAAACAGGCUAAAGGGUGAAAUGAGUCAGGUCAGUUACCAAUGUUGUUUUAGGCCUUAGGGACCUUGUGUUCUAGAUGUUGGCUCAUGCAAAAUUCACAUUUUCUCAAUCUGAUGAGGCUUGCACUUUCAAUGCAUCAUAAUUAUAUCAUCAACAAGCAUAUUGUAAUGAGUGAUUAGGCUUAAUAAUUCGUGGUGUUUGAUGCAACAUUCUUCCCUUGAGACCAUCAAUAGUCAUUUAUAUGUUCCUGUAAUAAAGCUUUUAUUGUAUUGAUGAGUAGCGGUGAUAAAAACAAUAUUUACAGUUUCAGCUGGCAAAUCUUAUAAACUAGAAAUUGCAGCAAAUCAUAUUUACCAGCCAUUAUAUUUUGACAUUAGCUAAGAAAAUUUUGGAUGUAUGUGCCAUGUAACAGGUGCGCACUGUCAUGGUUGAGAAUAUUGAUAAAGUUCUAGAGAGAGGUGAUCGCUUGGAAUUGCUGGUCGAUAAAACAGCUAAUAUGCAAGAGAACACUUUCCGCUUCAGAAAGCAGGCUCGCCGUUUCAGAAGCACUGUAUGGUGGAGAAAUGUCAAACUCACGUAUGUUGCUUCCAUUACUUGGACAAAUGCUAUUUCUUUGUUUCAUUUUUCCUUGGUGGGGGAGGGGGGUUGUUCUUUCAAUAGUUGGAUGAAUUAUAUAAUUAUUAGAUUUCUUUUAUUGGGUAAGAUUAAACUCUGAUUUGAACAGUUAGAUUGUUACAUGUGAAGAUCCCUUAUUUGUAAGUUAUCUGACAUUACUGAAACUAGCUGGGCUCUAUCCUACCUAAAAUGGUUUGACAAAACGGACAGUGUAUCUUCCAGGAUCAAUUUAGAGAGAAAUUUUAAAAUGUGAAUAAAUAAUAAUCCAAAUUUUACAUCUUUGGGAAGUCCAUGAAAUGAUUGAGAUCAGUAUGAAGCUUCCUCAUGGAUUUCUUGAUCUGGUUAUUCCUUUUCCUUAUAAUAUGUGUUUCACGAUCUUUUAUCUGCCUGCUCCUAAACAGUAUGAAUUUUGUGAAGCAAUUCUAACAACAGAUCCCUACGUUUACAGAAGAUUUCAUAGUUGUAUGCUGUACUGAUUCUCUCAGGAUAUUUUUAAUUUUGUUCUUGAUGGUUGUUUACAUUUAAGGAGUCGCCGGCUUCAAGUUUUUCUUUUCCUAUUUCAUUAUUUAAUUUUGUCAUCGUUCUUUAUAAUGAUGUUUGAUUUUUGCAGGGUGGCACUGAUAGUCCUCCUCCUUGUGAUAGUUUAUGUUAUUUUGGCUUUCGCUUGUCAUGGACUCACACUUCCAACUUGUUUGAAGUGAGGAUUACUGGAUCAGCAUCACAUCUUUCGUCCUGAAACAUUAUUUUGCAAUUUUUUCAUCUUAAUUAAUCUUGGGGUAAAGCUUGGAUGUGUAUUUUGGCAUGGAUUUCAUCCUUGAUAUGUAUUAAUCGUGUGAUAUCCUUGAGCUUAUAAGCAAGCCAAAACUCUUGGUUUGAUAAUGUAGAUUGUAUUUAUAUAUAAUUUUGACCCAUGUGAGGAAAAUGAAGGGGUCAAAUAACUCAUGAUUGAUUUCUUGGCUUGAUAUCUGUGUUGAAAUAUAACUUGACCGUCUUUUUGUUUGCACUCUAUGCUGAAAUUUGGUUUUGUUGCUUAUUUGAGGCCAUGGAAGGUUUCAACCUAAGUGACAUUUGUUUCAGAAACUUGAAUACUUCAUUUUGGAGAAUAUAUUUCAAUUUUUGUUUUUGCAGGAAUCUGUUUUUCAACCAAACAUAAAUUAUCUGUUAUAGAGGAAAUGCUAAUGCAAUUUCAAAGUACCACAAUUCCAUCCUUAUAUCAAGACGUGUGAUAUAUAUUCUGUACAAAGAUGCACUAUAAUUCUGCAUUGAAUGUUACAUGUCAAAUAUUACAGUGAAACCAAAUUGUCAUCUAUAAGGGAAAACCUGUUCAAUAAAGCUUCUAAUUCUUGAAGAACCGCCAUGUAAUGCUCUUCAGAUUGAGCCCCUUCUUCAACAACUUGCAUGACAUGUUUAUGUAGAUGAUUAUAUAAUUCCACAGGAUUAUUCACAUCAACAUGACUAAGGACAGAAUCUACUGGAGUCUUACGUUUGUAAUCUUUAUCCCAACGCGGCAGGAUGUAUUGUGAUGGAAUAUCUUCUACACCAUUAUAAUUCAGUACAUUCAAUGCAUGUCUGCAUAAGUAUCCUUUAAAGUUGAACAAACUGCAAAUACAGCGUACUUCUACUUGUGUCGUCUCAUAGAGAACCUCAAACUGCCUGAUCUCCUUCUCACUUCCUUCGGAUUCUACUCUUUCUUCGACAGCAAAUGUCAUUAUUGGCCCGUUAAUGUUUACAUGUCUUGUGUUAAAGCAAGAACGCAUUUCCUCAACUUCUUUUUGGAACUUCUUGAAUAUUUCCUUUGUGAAUAUCCGUGAGAGUUGCUGCUCAAAUUUGCAUGUUGUUUUCAGUUCAAAGCUUGAACUUCUCGACUCCAUAUCAGCCAUUGCUUCUUUCAGGUAUUUCCUUUGCAGGGCUAGAUCAUACUUAUCAACAAAUUCUUUGAAUGAAGUGUGUUUAUGUACAUAACCAUCAAAAAAUGAAUCCAAACUCUCGUUUUCCUUUAUUGGCAUGAUUCCCAUGAAGGAAAUAUCUUUUAAGUAGACUGGUACCCAUUUUUCACGAUCUUCGUACAAUGAUUGAAGCCAUUUAUUGUCCUUGAGUCCAUGCUGAUUUAUCAUCUGUCCCCAAGAACUUUCAAAUUCGGUGAUCUUCAAAGAAUUAUAAACUGCUUUAUACAGUUGCAUCUUGAUAGACUCAUACCCCUUCAAUCCUCCCAACUUCUCAGGAACUCGCUGCAUGAUAUAUGACAAACAAUAACAAUGACAAGCUUGAGGGAAAACCUUAGAAACUGCAAUUUGCAAUGAUUUUGACUGAUCAGUUAGAAUAACUUGUGGAUGUCUCCCCAGCAUACAUGUUUGCCAUGAUUUCAACAUCCAAAUAAAGUACUCUGCUGAAUCAUGUCCAAGAAAACCACAUCCCAGCAAAACAGGUUGCCCAUGAUUGUUUAAUCCGACAAAAGAAAUUAGAGGAAUUUCAUAUUUGUUUCUCAAGCUUGUUGUAUCAAUUGCAACUGCAUCAGAAAAGGAGUUGAAAGCAGCCCUAGACCUAGCAUCAGCCCAGAACACAUUUCUCAGGCAUCCUUCAUCAUCAAGAUCCAUCAGAUAAAAGAAGUUUGGAUUUGUCAAUUUCAUACGACAAAAAUAAUUAUACAGUGCAUGCGCAUCCCCCUCUUUAAGCUCCAAAUGCUUUGAGGUAUCAACAGGAAGCCCACUAUUUGUUUCCUCGACUUCUUGGGAUCCAUUAUAAGCAGCAUCAAUAGAUGUGCGGUAUAACUUAAUUGUAUGCACUUCUGUAACAGGUGUCGAUUCCUGCUGCUUUUUGGAAGCAAGAAUCAUUUUUUUGUGAGACUUAUAGAACCGUCUGAUCUCUGGGCUUACUGUAUGAUUAUGCUGAAGCACAACUUCAACAAUUCUCCAUCUUUUUGAGUCCACAAGCUUAAUUACUAGCAUUGCAGGACAACCAGUUCUUGUUUCUGGCCUAGGGUGAUUUGCUCCACUUUUCUUCUUGAAACCUGCGUUACUGCAGCUAAGUUUUGCUCUAUACCUUUCUUUCCUUUUUGAUCUAAACCAGGAGUUGCUCACUCUAACACCAAAUCCUUGUUCCUUACCAUACAUGUUAUAAAAAUCAUAUGCUUCAUCAAAAGACCCAAAUUCCAGACCGACUGUGGGUUGUGGGGGCUCUUUCUUUGAAUCAUUUUCAUGAAUUUCAUCAUCAUGCUCCACCACAGAACAGUCUUCUCCAUCCUCAUAUUCUUCACAGUCAUCAAACACUGGGCCGCUGUUAAGACAAACUGCCUCCAUCUGAAACAUGGAAUUGAAAUCAGCAUGGAGAUGAUUUGACCAGAAGUAAACAAACAAAAUGCUUUCUUUCUGAAUCAGUUGCAACCUUCUUUUAAAUAGUCUAUUUUGGAAGGAGGGAGCGUUUCAAAUAUAGUAAAUAUAUCAAAAAGACAAUUCUAAAAAGAACCUGAAGUGUGUGCUUUAGAGUUCAUGAUAGAUCACUUGGUGGUUUCAACCCUUCAAGAACUCAUAGAUUAAGUUCAAAACGACGUGGUAUUGGGAUUUGAAAAUGUGGUUAGAGUUUGACAGGUUUAAUAGAAAUCAAGACAACAUUGUUAAGUAGUAAAACUAAAAUGUACUAAGAAAAAGGUAAAAUUGCAAGAAUGAUGGGAAGGACUUUUCUUACAACAACAAUUUGGAAGUUGAGGUGUACAUGUCGCAUACAGUAGGGUGAUUAGGGACAUGUACAUUGGAGCCGAGAUUGGGGUGAGAAUAGUGGAAGGAAACUUGGAACACUUUCCAAUCUUGAUGGGGUUGUACCAAUGAUCAAAUCUUAGUUCGUUUUUAUUUGCCUUGGUGAUGGAUGAACUAACGUUGCAUAUCCAAUGCGAGGUGCCAUGGUUUUUUCUAUUUGCGAUGACAUAAUACUGAUUGACGAGAUAAGAGGCAAAAUUAAUGAUACGCUGGAGGUCUAGUGCGGACCCUAGAGUUUAAAGGGAUCAGGUUGAGCUUGAGUAGGACUAAGACAAACUACUUGGAGUGCAAGUUCAGUGGCAUAACUCACGAGGCAAAUGCAGAAGUGAGGAUUGAUACACAAGUCAUCUCCAAUUGAGGAAGUUUCAAGUAUUGGGUCAAUAAUCAAAGGCAAUGGGGAGAUUGACAAUGAUGUUACACAUCGUAUUGGAGCGGGGUGGAUGAAAUGGAGGCUCGCAUCCAGUGUCUUGUGUGAUAAAAAUAUGCCACCAGGACUUAAAGGUAAGUUUUAUAAAUUGAUUAUUAGACUAACUAUGUAGUAUUGUGCAGAAUAUUGGCCGGUCAAGAACUUGCAAGUCUAGAAGGAUGAAAGAAGCUGAAAUGAGGAUGUUGAGAUGGAUGUAUGAGCAUACUAAGAGAGAUAGGAUUAGGAAUAAAGAUAUUUGGGACAAGGUGAUAGUGGCCUCCGCGGUGGACAAGAUGUGGUUGAGAUGGUUCAGGCAUGUGAGGAAGAGAUGCACAUAUGCCCCAAUGAGGAGGUGUGAGAGAUUGACUAUGAUGGGUCUGAGAAGAGGUAGAAGCAGGCCAAAGAAGUAUUGAGGAGAGGUGAUUAGCCAACAUAUGACACACCUACAACUUACCGACGAUAUGACCCUAGAGAGGAGGAAAUUAAUGUCGAGAAUUAAGGUAGAUGGUUAGUAGGUAUCAAACGAUGUCUAGGUUUUCUUAUUAGUAUCAUUAUUAUUAAUAUUAAUCUUCUCUUAUCUUAUUCUUCAUUUUUUUAUUACCUAUUGUUUCAUUUACUUCGAUUAUCGUAUUAUUUGAUGUUGCAACUGUUCUUUUCUCCAUUAUUUUCACAUGGCUUCUUCACUACUGUAUUUCCUUUUCAAACCUUUUUAUGAAAUGUUUUACUUGAGCUGAGAGUCUAUUAGAAACAACCUCUCUACCUUCACAAGGUAGAGGUAAGGUAUGUGUACACACCACCCUCCCUAGACCCCACUAGUGGGAUUUCACUGGGUAUGUUGUUGUUGUAACAAUUUUCCCUGCAUAUGAUACACAGCAGCCAAUAAUAUUUUUUGCAUCCUUCUUUAGCGAACAAAUUGCUUGAACUUAUCCAAGCAUGUGUACAGUGACAACAAUAUGCCCCAAUAAUGCAUUCAUGUGCACUGAGAACAGGAAAAAAAUCCAGUCUUUCCAUCUCCAAGGAGACUCAAGGAAAAAUCUAUAUUUACGUGCGAAGACAUUAUUAUAUUCUUAGACUAUUCGAAAUAUAGAAUAAUCAAACACAUUUUCCAUUUCCUCCGGGGCAUGAUCUUAUUACUUGAACUAAAUGCAUAGGUGAUAGGUAUACUCUAUUUUGUAAGAAAUCCAUCCAUCCUGCCCGCAUGGCACAUACGCCCGAAUAUUAAUAUAAGUUAGUUUGGCAUAAGCAUGAUGAAAAAGAUGAGGAUUAGAAAAUGUUUUAGGCAAUAAAUACAGAGUGACCAAUAAAACCUGAAUUCACUAUGCACUCAUCAGAAAUAUGCUCGACAAGAUGUCAGAUAGCAACUUGAGGGCCCGAGUCUAGCAAUUAAUGUUUCCCAGCAUAAGAUAAAAGCUAUGCAGUCAAAGACUAAAUUACGGUCUUGUAGAAAAGGUGAAUACAAGCAGGAAAUUCACAUAUAGAAAGGCUGGUAAAAAAGAAAAGAAAAUGCAUGUCCACUUAUUUAUGCAUGUUUUAGGCCAACAUGAGAUGGCAUGUAUAGAUACACCAAAAAACACAUAAAGACGUGGAUUAACUUAACUCCUUCAACUAUUCCAAGUUUCAAAAUGUAUUAGAGACGAGGCUUGACCCAUUUCACGGCUUAAAUACAUGGAACCUUGGACCUUAUCCUGUGUUUUAUAAUAAUUUUGAUGCCAAACAUUUUAUUGCCCCUGAAAACCCCAAAUAUUGACAUGAAAUUCAGAAGCAUAUUCUUUUUCUAACUGGAUAUGUGAUACUUUAUGUAGUGCUUUUAGCUUUUUCUUUUGAAAGUUAUGUAUCUUACCCUCUCCUUCACCAACUACGAAAGUUCAUAAAAUGACUAAAAGCAGUCCACAGAGAGAUUUGAGAGCCCAAGAAAAUUCUAACAAUCCACAAACACAAUCAUCUUAACACUAAACAUACCAGUUACAGAUUCCUCAUCAACUAUGCCGUAGUGUAAGAUAGAAAAGCCGCGAGAUUCUCAUUGAUUUUGACAUUAGACUUGUCAUUUUGAAACUCAAAAGAGAGCCGCUACCAUCUUAACCUGAGAAACAUAUCUCCAUGUCACAAAAAAAACACUACACUACAAAAUAUUACAUAUGAUUCAACUAUUUUGUGCACGGGUAUGGGGUGCAGAAAACAAGUGCGGCCAAUCCGCUAGACUCAUAAAAUAGUAGUGAAAAUAAAAACAUGCAAGUGGAGACGGGAUUGGUCUAAACCAGUCGAAGUAGCAUGAAAAAAAAGUAGUAGAGGUGCUUUAGGCACUAAAGAAGAUGAUAUUUGAGGUACACGAGCCAAUUUGUUCAUCCUAAUUUUCCAAAAGUAACACUAAAAUCGCAGCAGCUAACACCGAAACAAACAUGACAUAGCACCUUCUGCCACAGAAGUCUGAAAAACCUUCCAAAGAGAUCAGUCAGUAUUCUGGGAUCUGCCUCAGCAUGAUCACUCACUAACACCUCUUUUCUUUUCCUUUCUCUCUUUUUUCAUAUGACAUAGAAAGACCAUACACUUUACAUUUUAUGUAAAUUAGCAGCUGAUCAAUAGGCUUCCUUAAUCACAUUGAUAGUCAACAUACCCCCUCCCUUCCGCCAUCACCCAAUCAACACUCACCUCCUCAGUUUCCACCCUCCAAAAUAAAAGAUGCACUCAACAACACGUCACUUAGAAGAAUCCCUUCUAGUAAUUAUCAUACAUCAACAAAAAAAAAUGGCAAAGCUCAUAAGGAGACAUAACCCAAGUUUGGUUUCCAUAGCUCAAUAAUGAUCGAAUAGGGUUAAUUGGUGAAGUAUUUAAAAUCAUAUCUUAUAUAAUCAUGCCCUUUAAUUAUAACAAAAAGAGUAUGAGAUCAGGUGAUAUUCAUCAACUGAAAAGCUAAAGUCACCCUAACUUCAGACAACCUCCAUUUUUAUGAACUGUUACUGAUCCUCAGAAAUCUCAGCAAUUGAUAACGAAGUGUUUAAACGCAACAAAAAAAAUAUAAUCAAAAUUUAGCUAAAAAUUUCAAGGAAAUAAAGGACUACAUACAAUUAGCAGGAAAAAAGAAAGAAGAAAAGAUUAUACCUCUACCGGACUAAAUUAAAAUUUUCUUAUCCAGGACAAAACAUUUCAAUCAAAAUCAUCAUCAGUUCAUCUUCAAGUGGAUAAUUUUAGCUCAGCUGUUCAACAGAAAUUAUCAAUUUCCGAAGCAGGCUUAUAAAUUAAAAGUCACGCGCCGGCGAACGAGCGGCGAGGGUGGUGGCGGAGAACGGCGGACGGCGGAGGUGCAAAGACUAAUUUUGUACGACGGCGAGCGAACGAAAAUCGGUAAGGGCUUAGAAUUUGGGAAAAUUAAUAUUUGCAAACUACAUCCUUGGAAUAUUGUCUAUACUGCGUUACUCACCUCGAAACAUUUCAAUUUCUCCAAUCAAAACAUUUCAUUAUUAAAGCCUUCACAAAAGAAUUACUAAUCAAACAAAAUUUAUUUUUUAAUACAAAAAAUAUUUUACUACUAAUGUGAACUUUUUUGACACUGAUUCAAAUUAAUAAAAUCUCAAAGCUAAUAGGAUACUAGUAGAGUACUACAAGGGCAUAAAUCAUAAAAAUUAUGAUUCAUAAUAUACAAAUGUAUCUUUUAACUUAAUUUUAGUUGGUAUUUAUAUCCUCAAAUUUUGGGUGUGCAUAAUUAGUCAGUUAAGCUGAUAUAAAAUUGAACAAAUAGAUACUUUCGUCUUACUUUGAGUUCUAAAUGACAAUUUCAUGUCCUAUGUGACGUGCUAUGUGUCUUAUGUGACGUCUACUUAUUUAGUUUUAUACAAGUUUAAGUAUUAGUUAUGCACGGUCAAAAUUGAAGGACAUAAAUACUUGUUAAAGACAAAUUAAAGGGCAUAUAUGCUAUAUUUCGAAUGUGUUAAGUGAACUUAUUAUAACUAACUUACUAACUUCAAGGAUAUGAUUUUUAAUAAUAAAUACAAUAAUUCGAUAAGAAAUAUAAAUAAUUGUAUAAUUUAAUUGGAAAAAUUGUACCCGUUCUUGUUUAGUUUUUUCCUUGGAAAUUUACAGAGAAAUAUAGUCGUAAUGGCAGUGCGAUCAAUAUUUCUUCUUCAGUGCUUCUUCUUAUGUUCUAUUCUUUCUGGGUAUAUAAAUUUUCAUGCACGUAAUAAAAUGAACUCAAUUCAGAAAAAUUGUAAAAUUUAGUUUAUGUUUUGAAUUUAUUAAGCUUGUUAAUUAAUAACAAUUUGAUUAUUUUCCCGUAGCUUCUAAUUAAUUUUAAUUUCCAUUUGAAUUUUUUGGCAUUGGAUGGGGAAAAAAUGUCCAAAAAUUUUGGAUCUUCAAUCUUCAAGUUCCACUGUUUUGAAUUUUUUUCGUAGCUUGUUGAUAUGAAAUUAGUAAAACCUAAUUGAUUGAUUUGUUAAAAAAAAAAAACAGAAUUUGAGAAAAAUUACAGAGAAUUCAAAUCUUGGCUUGUGUUUUUUUUUUAAAGAUUAUUACUAUGUCAAGUAAUUAAACAAUUGAUUAUUUUCUCCACUUUUUCAUUAUUUUAAUUAAAUUAAUUUUUUUUUGCAGGAAUGUUGAUGGUUAUACUGUUACAGGACGAGUAAAAAUACCCAGUAAAUACUUCAAGAAUUCUUUUCACCUUAAUUUCUCUUCCUAGUUAUAUUUUUAGAAUACAUAGAAUUGUAUUAGUUGCUUUAUAUCACUUUCGUAUUAUCUUAUUAUUCGAUUUCUUAUUAAAACAUUGGUGUUUGACCAUGUUUCAUUAUAAAAUUUGAAAAAACUAGGCCGGGUAAGGCCCCAGACCCCACUUGUGGGAAUAUGCUGGACUUGGGUAUGUUGUUUAUGUAUAGAACUGUAGUUAGUUAGUAUACAUAAGCUUCAAAUAUUGGAAAUAUAAUGUCAUUUAUUUGCCUAGUUUCACCAAUACGGUAGCUAAAAUAUCAUAAAUUUAAGGAAAAAUAGGUCAGUAGUAAACAAUUAUUUGGGAUGAAAAAGGAGUAAUUUAGUUAAAUUUUCCAACUUUUUGUCAAGGUGGAGUUUUUUCUACCUAUAUAUGUUCUAUUAAUUUUAGAUUAUAGAGCUAAAACUCUCCUUUUGUUAUAGAGAUUCACUUCACUGUACUUUGAUGUUUUAAAUAUUUUUUUUGUGAUGAUUUAUCGGUUAUAAGAAAUAUUGACUUUGUUUUCUGUAGUUGAGAAUAGGUUACAGAAUUGUCACAGAACUUUUAGUAUGGAGAUUCAUAUAGCUGAUCCAACUUAUUUGUGACUAAGGCCGCGUUGUUGUUGUUGUUUGUUUGUUUGUUUUCUUUAGUCUUUAGCUUGAAAGGAUCUGGUUUCUUACCUAAAGCUUCAAAUGUUAAAGUCAUACUCAAUGCUGGCCAAAGAGUUACUUUCCUGAGACCCAAUGGAUAUUUCUCAUUGUAUCCUUCCUAAAGUCGACGAGUCAAUGUCUUAAGUCAGUCCUUAAUUCAUCUUUGGUUAUGUAUCUUGAUUAAACUCUAGGUAUACUAAUAGGAGUUUUGUGCUGCAUAUUUACUGUUUUUGUGUGUUGUUUUCUUGUAUGAUACAAUAACAACAACAAGAACAAACAACUACGUCUCAGUCCCAAACAAGUUAGGAUUGUGAGUGGCUCAUCUGAAUUAUACUCAAUUUGUGGGAUAAUCAUGAAAACUAGAAUGCUACUCCUCUUUGGAAAGGCUAUGCGAAGGGAAUGUUAUCCUAUGAAUGCAAUUCCUUAACCUUAGCAAUAGUCAUAAUGUUUCAGCAGGGACACAUCUUAUUGAGGUGUCUGCAAUUGGCUACUUCUUUUCUCCGGU
rnacentral:lncRNA from 1 species